rnacentral:lncRNA from 1 species
AAGAAGACAAGUAAUGGUAACACAUUGAAGGAUUUCGAGUCGAAGCCCGGCUCCUUUCUCUGGGGGUAUCAAGGCAACGAGGCUGAGUCUAAGUCUAAGGAGGAGAAGCCUCUUAUGAAAGGCUUUGAGUCGAAGCCCGGCUCCUUUCUCUGGGGGUAUCAAGGCAACGACGUUGAGUCUAAGUCUAAGGAGGAGAAGCCUUUUAUGAAAGGCUUUGAGUCAAAGCCCGGCUCUUUUCUCUGGGGGUAUCAAGGCAACAAUGCUGAGUCUAAGUCUAAGGAGGAGAACCCUCUUAUGAAAGACUUUGAGUCGAAGCCCGGCUCCUUUCUCUGGGGGUAUCAAGGCAACGACGCUGAGUCUAAGUCUGAGGAGGAGAAGCCUCUUAUGAAAGACUUUGAGUUGAAACCCGGCUCCUUUCUCUGGGGGUAUCAAGGCAACGACGCUGAGUCUAAGUCUAAGGAGGAGAAGCCUCUUAUAAAAGACUUUGAAUCGAAGCCCGGCUCCUUUCUCUGGGGGUAUCAAGGCAACGAUGUUGAGUCAAAGUCUAAGGAGAAGAAGCCUCUUAUAGCCCGGCUCCUUUCUCUGGGGAUAUCAAGGCCCUCUUAUGAAAGACUUUGAGUCAAAGCCCGGCUCCUUUCUCUGGGGUAUCAAGGCAACGACGCUGAGUCUAAGUCUAAGGAGGAGAAGCCUCUUAUGAAAGACUUUGAGUCGAAGCCCGGCUCCUUUCUCUGGGGGUAUCAAGGCAACCACGCUGAGUACAAGGAGGAGAAACCACUCGUGAAAGAUAAUUAAUGUCCAGGGAAGCCGCAACUUUACCUCUGAAUGGACCACGGACAUAUAUGUCUUCUAGCUGGUCUGAUUUUCUGCAUUUUCUUUAUUGGCAUGAACAUGUGUGAUAUGUAAUAAAUGCAGUUCUUCUUUCAACCAAGCGUUCUGUAUAAUUAAUUAAAUGAAAGUCAGUAGCGUUGAGUGCAUUUCUGUUUCUUUGUUUGUUGUUUCUUUUUGCCAUUUACCAUAGACAGGAAGCGCACAAAAAAGAGCACUAUUCAAGCAUGACAAGAAUCAUAGAGUGAGCGAACCAACUAUACCUUGAUAAUCUAAAAAGAGUUCUGCAAACUCGUACUCUUGUACGAAACCAGGACCAUAUAUAUAUAUAUAUAUAUAUAUAGAUAUAUCGAUUCAAUUUUCUAAUGAUGUGUGUGGUACGAACGCACAUUAGAAGUACAGAAAAUUCUAGUGUAAACUUUCACAAAAGAAGAGAAAGAAUGGAGAACUCUUGAAGCGUGAUUGAUCGCUAUUCUUAAGAAUUUAAUUAUCCAUACUACACUAAGUAUUUGCUGUAGAGAUAAAGGUAAUUUAACUUUAAGAUACAACAAGAGAAGAAGAAGUUGAUAGCAAUAUCAAGUUUCUCAAACUAAGAAAUGAUCAAAUAAUUCUAGCUAGUUUUGACAAUAAAAGGCUUGUUUUUUUACAAGUAACCUGUUUUCCACUCGUCUCUAAGUAUCCUUCGAUACGUGGCACUUAAUCCCAAUUAUUUGACUUUAAACUUCGUUCUGUGAUGUGGAUUCUAUGUGUUAGUAUAUACAAGACUGAUCUUAAACAUUACUUGAAAAUCAUAUUAUAUGUAACUGAGUACCGCAUAACUUGCAAUUAUCCACUUACGCUCUCAAUAUUAUUGGGAAAUUACAUGGAUUUUCGUUUCGGUAACUCUAAUUAUAUAGUCUCACGAUCCAUCUUAACUGAAGGGGCCAUUAUGAAUUAGAUGAACAUGAAGUUGUAUUUCGAUUCUCAAGCUAUUCCGUUCCUCUUUCUUCAUUGUAAGGAUUAGAGUCUCUUUUGGAGGGAAAAAAAAACACUCUAAUUAUACAGGAUUAAAGCAAAUAGCAAUGGUCUAUAAAAGGAUAAAAAGUAAGCAGGCUGGGGCAUAUUUAUUAAAACAUGAAAAUAAUAUGAAAUUUUAUAAUACACAUGAUACGAAAAAUAAACUGUAUGUAAAUAAUGCAAAUAUAUUCGAAAAGUACAAAGCUGAAAAUACAGCUUCAUUUACCAUGUGCAUAAUAGCUGUGUGCACAUUCCAGUGAAGAUUUUUUAUUUUUAGUGUAAGUGAGAAAUUUCGAGUUCUAAACCUUUCAUUUACACUCUCUUGUCCUAUAUCAUCCAAUCCAUCCCUUCCUAUAUUUUUAUGAAGAUGAGUACAUAAUGUGAGUUUUUAUUUUUUGAGGUGAAUAACUUGUUCACAAAAAAGUUUUCUCGAUUUAGGUAAAGUUUAAACUUUACGUUGUCUAAACAACGCAAGCAGAUGCCACUAGGACAGAAGUCAUUAUGAUGACUUCAUCCAAGGUAACAAAAAAAAGGCGUACAAUUGCACUUAAAAUUUGUGAAUUUAUAGUACUAUUUCAUGGUUUAUCGCCUCAAAGUUAACAAUAAAUAAUGUUUUGAACCCCAUUUAAACAACUUAUGAGUGUAAUUCAAAUUUAUUGCUCUAUUAUGUGUGUACAAUGUAUCAAAACAAAAGAGUAGCAAAUUGUGUUUUAUUGCACUUUUUGUUUAGCUAGCUUCAUGCAAAUUAACCUUCGUAGAUUAUAGGUAAAGAAUUGGUUUGCCAUUCAAUGUAUCCAAGAAAUAUGUGUUAGUACAUAAUGUUUAUUUUAAUGGAUGUACUGGUGUAAAACAAAAUUACAAAUUAUUAAGUUUUAAACUUUACAAGUACUUAAAGGACAAUAAUUUUUUAUUAAAUUAAAAUUUUCCGUUCUGUGAUUUGGUAGUUUAUCUUAUAACCCCUCUAUAGUUUAAAAAUCUGUAAUCAACCUCCUCAUAAUCUGGGUUAACAUAUCAUCAUUAAUUUUUCUAAAGUUUAAGCAAAUUAAUAUAUUGAAAAAUUCAUCCUUUCACUAAUUCUUUGAGGUAGUUACAAAAGUAUUACAAUUAUUAUACACCUUAAACUAUGUAUUUGUUUUCAAGUAAACACAAAAGAUGCAGCAAACCAUUUUUAGCCAAGUUAAUAAAAUUGCAAAUGUAACAAUAUAAAGCACCUUAUGAAAAGUUACUCUAUAUGAUUAAGAAAAUAAUUUAUAUUUAUUAGAAUGGGAAAAAGUUGCCAGAAGAGGGAGAGACCAUAAGAAAAAUAGUUUAGAGUGAACUGCAUCAAUCAUGCCUUCCAUCAGGGAAAAAAAGGGGUUAAAUAUCAAAAACCGCCAUGGAGUUUGCCUAAUGUUUACUUUACCUCCCUAUGGUUUGGCAACCUACAAUUUGACUUCCUGUAGUUUCAACUAAAGUAAAAGUCUGACAGAAAACAUCUAAACUAACGUCUGAAAGGAAAAUGUCAAAAUUGCCCCUCUAUAAGGGUUUUGGGUUAAGCACCAAAAAUCCCCCUGUGGUUUGUCAAAUGUACACUUUACCUCCCUAUGGUUUUAAAACAUACAAUUUAACUCCCUGUCGUAUCACCUAAAGUGAAAAUCUAACAAAAAUUCCGUUAAAUACACUUUAGUUGAAACGACAGGGAGUCAAAUUGUAGGUUUCCAAAUUAUAGGGAGGUAAAGUAAACAUUAGGCAAACCACAGAGGGGUUUUUGGUAUUUAACCCAAAAAAAUGAUAGAUGUGCGUGUAUAUAGGUGACGGGACUUUUAUAUCAAUGCAAGUUUAAAUCCGAUUUUAUACUCGUUGACUACAAAUAUACAGGCCGAAAUCGUAAUGUAAGGUGUGUAUCGGGUCAAUCCCACGAGGAGCAAAUUAAAUAAGUACUAGACCCUUAUUUUUCUCUAUUAUUUAGACUUACAAUAAAUUUGAGUAAAAAAUUUAUAAUGCUAUUGUCUACAACUCUGGUUUAAUCAAUGUUAAAUGCAAAUGGAGAAAUUUCACAAAAGAUUGAAUCUUGGGAUGUAGAUUCCACUUAUGGCAUAAACAACACAAAUGAAUAGAUUUACCUUUUGUUAUUUUUCUUGUUUAACCAGGGAUUCAUUUCCAAUAUUACCAAAUCUCAUUCUCAUGAUGAAAUGGCCUAGAGCAAUAUAGUUUUCCCUAUUUUCAUGGUGAAAUACUAGUUCUACUCUGUUUUCCUUCAUGAAAUGCUAGAAAAUGCACUUAAGUGUACAUCUAUUUUCAUGAACAUACAACUCAAGCUCUACUCAUGUUUUUCCAUUGUUACUAUCAAUUUUCAUUGACUAAUAACAACUAUGAACAUGCUAUUGGUGAUCAAACAACCACAAGUAAUUACAACUGCACAAAUAGACAAGUUAAUACAAGAUAUAACAAGUGUAAAUCACAUUCAAUUCAUAUUAUUUAGCCAUAAGUUUUAUCUACUCCCUAGAUAAAGAAAAUUAACUACUCAUGAAUGAGAUAAAAAUCAAACUCACAAGUUCAUUAAUGCAAAACAUCACAAAGUACAAUUACAAGAAAGAUAAAAGAAAGCUUAGCCAAUUAAUGGUGAAGCCCUCAAAUUUCUGCUAUGUUCUUGUAAAAGAUGAUUACAAGAUGAGUCUCCAAUUGCUUCCUCAAGAACUCUUCACUAAAGAGAAACUUGUUGCAAGAAGAAAAACUAGUUAUGUAUGGUCAUCUCUAGCUUCUCCAUUCUAUCUCUGCAUAAAAGGUGGUAGAAAGACAUUUUUUUUUCUCCUUCAUGACUUCAACCACUUAGAUUUUGUAAAGGAAGUCAAAAGAUAUGUUGUUUUGAUUAGUCAAUAACUCAUUUGGUCUUCUCUUUUGUUGCAGAAGCAUGUGCCACCGAAUUUUCUCUCCCAAGAUAGCUGGAACGUUGUGUGAAAAGUGAGAAAAAACAGCUGCGCCACUUGCUGAAGAGAGAGGCGGAUCCGAGCCUUGGAUCAGAAGGGUGAAGAUCGAUCCGAGAACUUUCUCUGAUGGAUCCGAGCUCGGAUUGUAUGACUUCGGAUACACUGCUCCAGAAGUACAGACGAGAGCUCGGAUCGCCCUUUACUCACACGGAUCUGACCUCGGAUCUGUGCUGAUGAAUUUCCAGUUUUUUACUUCUUCUCUUUUCUCUUCAUGUUUGUUCCUAGUUUCUCUUGUACUUUAUCCUCGGGACAAUUCUUACAAUUCCUUCAUCUCGUGCAUGAAUUCUAUAUAUCAAUGUCCUUCAUAAUUUCACAAAAAUUAACACAUUAAUCCACUUACUUAUCAAAUUUUAAACACUUAAAUAAUAUUUAAUCAAUUAUCACCAAAAGAGUUCAAAUAUGGCUUUAAUCUUCUCAAAACAUACCAAAAGUUUAUGCCAAACUUGUACAAAAUAUACGUUAAAUAUUCACUUAUUAAAUUCCCCACACUUGAAUCAUUGCUUGUCCUCAAGCAAUUUCACACAUAACUUACCAUAAUGAUUCAAGAGAUAAAACAAUAUACGUACUCUUGUCAAAUUUAAUUUCUCAAAAACCUAGAAAUCAAUCAUUAUGCCAUUUCUCAGAUUAUACUAAAUACUCAUAAUAUCAAGUUAAAGAAAGAUAAUUAUGCAUUAAUUUUAACAACUUCAAAUCAAUCUCUCAUUCUAUCCUAAUUUCACAAAUAAGUAAAUCGCAUAGUCAAUUCUAUGGCCUUCCUGAUCCCAUGACCAUCAAAACUUAACAAUUGAGAGGGAUUUAUUCACACUUCAUUAUUUUUAAAUAGUGAAAUCGCCUUUUUAUGCGAAAAUCGACACUUUUAGGUGAAGAUUCCCGGUUACUCAACAUUUCACUUAUUCAAAUUGCUAAGCAUACUCUUAAUUCCAAUACCUUUUUACGCGAAUGUUAAUAUUUGUAAAUGCCAACCCCCGGUUACUUAGUAUGUGAAUCAUUAGAGUAGAAAAAUAAUAUCAAUAUAUAUAUAUUUUUUUAAUAUUUUUCUUUUCCCUCUAAGCAUAAUUAAAGGAAGAAUCUAGCCUUGUCUUGACUAUAUCAAUCACUGAUAGGGUGUUAAUUGUUAGCAAUUUUAUUGUUAAUUUUUCCUUUUAUCCUUGCCAAAUAAUGUUUUAAUUAUUAAUAUUUACUUAUAUUUGGUUUGUGGACUUAAAUCGAAUGAACCAUCUUCAAAUGGCUGAUUCAAUGCAUCAGCCACUUCAAAAGAUAUCUGCUACGUAUGUUAUAGCAGCUGUUACGAAAAGGAAGCAACACUACUGAUCGAUCUUCAUAAUGUAUAUAUAUUACUUGGAACUUGCAAGCAAGUUCCGAGUCAUUUUACUAAAUUUAUUUGAAAUAAAGAUUUCAUCUGAAUUUAAGACUUGACAUAAUCAACAUUUCUAUAUAUAAAAAAAUUUUCUAUACGCUAGCAUACUUGAUGACUAAUCUUAAUUUGACUUUGAAACUUAUGCUUUGCACAUAUGAUAUGCAUUCAAAUCCAAUAGUGUCUAAGUUGUUAGUUAGUCUAUAGAGGUUAAUCAUAUAUAUUUAUAGAGUAAAUGGCAAAAAGUGUGACUAAACAAUUAACCUUUUAUGUCUUCUGGUCACUAGACUAUUUUUUAGUUUAGGAUUUUAACAUAAUUCAGUUAAAGUCCCUAAUUCUGUGAUUCAUGUAUUUUUACCCUCAAUUGGAUAUUUUUACCCCUAUAAGCACGCUAUUUCUUGUCCCGGGACUACCUUUCCAUUUGUUCUAACUCCAAAAUUUGACCAAACACAAAAAAGCUACAAUUUUGUUAGUUGACUAAUAUUUUUGGCUAAAAAAAUAGUUUAGUGAGUAAAUGAUGUAAAAGUUAAUAGUUUAGUAAUAUUUUUUGCCAUUUGCUCUAUAUAUAGAGUUUUUCUCUUUCCAAAUAAUAGUUAUUUAUGGAUCAUUUGGAACUCAAGUUAAACCUAUUUUUGUAUAUAAAUUUGAUAAAGUUCAGUCAUAAUUGGCACUACAAGAAAUUUGGCCUUUUGUGACAACAGAAAAGUUGUCACAGUUGAGCAAAUUUAGUGACGACUUUAGGUGUUGUCAUAGUUGACCGAGAGUACACUCAUCAUCAUUUCCAACACGGGAUUAAUUGUCACAAUAUGGGUGGCGUGCAACUGGCCUGUGUGGUGGGAAAUCACCAUUGUGAUGACUUGAAAAAAUAUUGUCACUGAAAUGGGCUCUACAAUGACUACUUACAAUGUUAUCACAAUGUGGUUACCGGUUCAAAGUUAGUGACAACAAUUAGUUGUCACUGUCUAAAGUAAUUGGUCAUAACUCACUUUCAUUAAUUCUACUAUGCCACCCUAAUUUUUUCAAUAUUUUCCCAUAUGUUGUAAAUAAAUUUUAUUAAUUCUAUUAUGGCACCCUAUCUUUUAUAUUUUAGCCCCGUAUGCAGUAAACUAAUUUCAUUAACUCUACCAUAACACGUUAUCUUUUGCAAUUUAGCCUCAUGUGUAAUAAACUAAUUACAUUAAUUCUAUUAUGGCACCCGAUCAUUUACAAUUUAGCCUAUGUUUUUCAUUAGUAAAAUGGGGAAGGUAUUGUAAUAAAAAUGUAUACAUAUUUUAUAAUUGUUCCAAACUUAGUUAGUAACUUGUUAUGAAGGUAAAACAGUAUCAUGGACUCCCUAUCUAGUUCUCUUGGCAACACAUGAAAAAUUAGUGAUCAGAAAAUUACUUGUGUGAUGACCUAGGAAAAUGUUGUCACUAAAUGGUCCAUAUAGUGACAACUUCCAACAUCGUCACUGUCGCUCAACCGGUUCAGAGGUAGUGACAAUAAUUAGUUGUCACUGUCUAAAGUACUUGGUCCUAGAUCAUUUUCAUUAAUUCUACUAUGUCACCCUAACUUUUGCAAUUUAGCCCCAAAUGUAAUAAAAAAAUUUCAUUAAUUCUACUAUGACACUAUAACUUUUGUAAUUUAACCCCAUAUGCAGUACACUAAUUUCUUUAAUUCUACUAUUACACCCUAACUUUUACAAUUUUGUCCCAUAUGUAGUAUACCAAUUUCUUUAACUCUACCAUUACACCAUAACUUUUGCAAUUAAGCCCUAUAUCUAAUUCGCCAAUUUCAUUAAAUCAACUAUGGCACUGUAACUUCUGCAAUUUAACCCUAUAUGUAAUAUACAAAUUUCAUUAUUUGUACUAUCACCCUAUGGUGUUGCAAUUUAGCGAUUUUUUUAUUAGCAAAAUAUAUAAGUUAUCUUAAUAAACUAUAUAUGUAUACAUAUUUUAAAAUUUUCCCAAACUUAGGUAAUAAUUUGUUAUAAAUGUAAAAAAAUUCAUACAUUCCCCAUUUAUCCAAAUGACAACAUGGUGAAAAAUUAAUAAUUUGGAUAACCUAAAAACAGAGGUAGUCAAUAGUAGAAUUUAAAAAUAAAACUUAAUAUGAAAUUAAGUCUAAUCCUAACAUUUGCAUGAUCAAAAGGUUGUUAUUAAUUAUAGAAGCCACAUUUAUCAUUCAUGAAUUAGUACAUAUACCAAAUAGAUAGAUUUAGCAUUUCAUACAUGUAUUUGUAAACUAUUUUAAUUGUUCAAUCAACUAAUUCAAUUGUCAGGUCUUGUUAGACUGCAAGUCAUACAUAAUUGAUAACACCACAAAAUGAGUACCAAAAAGAUUUUAAUUAAAAGAGUGUUUAUUUUUUUGAAUCAUAAACAUAUUUCUAACAAUAUUUUUUAUUUUUUGAACUAUUUUAUUGUAUAAUAAAUUAGAAAAAGGCCUAUAUUAGUUAAAAUUGGUAAAAAAAAAUCCGCCUAAAUACACUAAAUUGUCAUAUUCUAUUAUUUUAACACAACCUAAGAGUAAAAAUAAUAAUAAAACUCAAAACAAUAGAAAAACUUAAUUACAUAAAGAUGAGAAAAAGAAAAGAGAGAGAGAUAGGUGAAAGGACAAAGAAAGCAUGCACUUCUUGCAUCUAAAUAAGGAAAAGACGUGCUUUUAUAUGUACGGAACUAAGAGCGGCAAACUAAAAAAUUCAAAUGGUGUGGCGGGCUGAAGGGAUUUUAGGGAAACGACACCGUUUGAUUCUAUGUCCUAAUAACUUAGGCAAAAUUUAAGACUUCUUCUUCCUCUUUUAUUGUCCUCCUUACGUCACCGAGAAUGCCCUCCUUAUGUAUCAAACUUGCACUACCAAAUCCAUCCAUAAACCAAUUAGUGCAACACUUUGAAUUUGGGCAACUUUAUUGAACUUGCACUACCAACAUCCCUAAUUCACCUAUUGCACUGCCUUGGUGGCAAGAAAUCAGAAAUUAGGCUUACCUGGUUCAGAGUCACCCGAGAGAGAAACAGGACAUGGUGGAGAAGAUAAGAACGGGUACCGACUUGGUGUACUUAAGGGUUUUGUUUCAGGAGCCAAAAGGGGCUUUUUUGACACCAUUAACGGUGGUUCUGGCAAGUGGGUUUAUCCUGGGAGUGGUGGAUCUGAGGUGAACUUGGCUAAUGGUGGUGGCUUGUUCUCUCCCAAGGGUGCUAAUGGCGCUGCCAAGAGUAUUGGUGCUGGUGGAGUUGAGGGUGGAAGUCAGCAAACUUUUGUGGGUUCUGGGGUUGGAAAAGAAACUGUUCCUCAGUCACCUAAGCCGUUUAGGAGAAGAAGCCUUAGGUUUCUGCUGUUAAUGGUCAUGCUGCAGCCCCUGCCGCUAAGUAAAAUUUUCUGCUUUCCUCUGUUGUUUGAGAUUAAAACUACCAUGCUUCCUUAAUUCUUUUAAAGUUAGAGUAGCAGCAUGAUUGUAGAGUUAGUUGUUUUGGUCCUCUAGGUACCGUUGCCGUUCAUGUCUCCUUUGUUGAUUUUUGACCUCGUUAAUAAGUAGUUAUUACUCCAUUCAAUUUUUUUUUUCUUCUUAACUAGCUGAUACAAGAUAAUUCUUUGGUUGUUAUUGUUAGGACCGGUCCAAGAAUAAACAAACUAAAGUUAUAACAAAAUAGGCGGUAUAACCGAUCAUAUAAAGAUUAGGCAGUAGACACUAGCCAUAUAAUAAUUAGACGGUAAAACCGACCAUAUAAAAGGGUUAUGACAACCCAAUAAAGACAAAUAAUAAAGCAAAAUAAAUAACACAGAAAUUUAUGUGGUUCGGUCAAAUUGACCUACGUCGACAGGCGAGGGAGGAGUAAUAUUUCAACUAUGAAGAAAAAAUACAAAAGCAGUAGAAAAGUGGUUCCUAGGCCAAAAUGACACUUACAAAAGAUUUAGAAAAUAUUUCUAAACUUAAAAUAAGAGAGUCUAAAAUAUUUGACUAUAAAUGGGUUAGAUGACCCAAGAAACUAAUAGCCCAUAUAAUGCUCUCUUGAGUGGUGCAUUUAAAAUCUUCAUAAGCCUUCUAUAUUUAUAGGUGAAUUUAGGAGGCUUUCCUUAGGCUUCAUCCGAUGUAGGAUAAAAUUUUUCCACACACAAGUCAAAGAUUGCGGUUUGAAAAAUCAACAAAUCUCCACCUUGGCAUAAUUUUAGUUCCACCAUCGACAAUAGCACAACUGUUCCACCUUCUCCACAUAAGCCCUGAUGGGCCUAAAUCACUAACAAUGAACACCAACCAAGUCCAAGCACUGUUUGAACUUAUAAACUAGAAGAGGUUUCGUAAACAUGUCAGCAAGAUUCUCCUUGGUACUGAUUUUCUGAACAAGGACUUUCCCUUCAGCAAUGAUAUCCCGUAUAAAGUGAUAUUUCACAUCAAUAUGUUUCGUCCUCUCAUGAUACAUCUUAUCUUUAGUCAAGUGUAUGACACUUUGACUAUCACAAUGAAUAACAGUAACACCUUGACGUAGACUAAACUCGCUAAACAAACUCUUCAACUACGAGACUUCUUUGAUUGUCUCGGUCACAGCCAUAUAUUCUGCUUCUGUAGUAGACAAAGGUACGACAGGUUGUAGAGUAACUUUCCAACUGACAGCACAAUCGCUAAUGCAAAAUACAUAGUUUGAAAGUGAUCUUCUCAUGUCAAGAUUCCCAGUGUAGUCUGAGUCUACAAAACCAACCAAAGUGUUAUUAUUUUUUCCAAACCCCAAGCAUGCAUUUGAACUACCUCACAAGUAUCUAAAAAUCCAUUUCACUGCCUGCCAAUGUAUUUUUCCAGAACAAAAUAUAUAUCUGCUAACAACACUGACUGUUUGUGCAAUAUCUGGAUGAGUACAAACCAUUGCAUACAUAAUACUGCCGACUGCAUUGGAAUAACGAACCUGUACCAUAUAUUCUUCCUCUUCAUCUGAUUUUGGUGAUUGAGCAGCAGAUAGUCAAAAAUGGCUAGCAAGAGGAGUAGAUAUUGGUUUAGCAUCUUUCAUAUCAAAACGUUCCAAGACUUUCUCAAGGUAAUUUUUCUGAGUCAAGAACAACUUCCCUACUUCUUGAUCUCGGUUGAUAUCCAUGCCAAGAAUUUUCUUAGCUGCUCCCAAAUCUUUCAUUUCAAAUUCACUAUUUAACUGCAGUUUCAAAGUGUGAAUUUCUGACAAAUUCUUGACAACAAUGAGCAUGUCAUCAACAUAAAACAGCAAAUAAAUAAAAGAACCAUCAUUUAACUUCCGGAAGUAAACACAAUUAUCAUAAAUGCUCCUUGAAUAACCAUGACCCACACAUAAAGGAAUCAAACCUUCUAUACUAUUGUCUUGGAGAUUGUUUCAAUCCAUAUAAGGAUUUCUUUAAUAAACAAACAUGGUCUUCCUUACAUUCAAUUUUAAAACCCUGGGGUUGUUUCAUAUAAAUUUGUUCUUCAAGUUCGCCAUAUAAGAAAACUGUCUUAAUGUCGAUCUGUUCUAACUCCAAAUUAUACAUGACAACUAAAGCAAGCAAAACACGAAUAGAACAAUGUUUAACAAUAGGUGAAAAAAUUUCAUUAAAAUCAACGCCUUGUACCUGAUUAUAACCCUUUGCAACUAAUCGUGCUUUAUACCUCGCAUCUUCAACCUCUGGAAUACUUUCCUUCUUCUUGAAAAUUCAUUUGCAUCCAAUAAUUUUCUUAUCUGAAGGCGGCUUUACAUGAACCCAAAUUUCAUUCUGAUGAAGAGAUUCAAUUUCUUCAUUCAUUGCAAUCAACCACUUUGCAGAAUCACCACAAGAAAUUGCUUCUGAAUAGGUGGAAGGCUCACCAACUGCAUUAGUUUCUUCUGCAACAGACAAAGCAUAUACAACUAAAUUUGCAUAUAUUUGUGAUGGUCGAAUGUCUCUCUUUGGUCUAUCUCUGGCUAUGGAAUAUUUCUCUUCAUCUAAACUAUCUUCAACAGUAGAUUCAGGUGUAUCUACAGGCAUUUGUUGAAUAGAAGAUUUGGUCUGAGAAGGACUAGAACUGCCAAUAUCAAACUCCACCUGCUUCUGUGUACUAUCAGUAGUACAAGAACUAGAAGACUCCUUUUUAGAAGAUAACAUAGACAAUUCAUCAAAAGUAACAUAUCUACUGAUCACAAAUUUUAGAGAUUUGGGAUCAGGAUACCAUAAUCUAUAUCCUUUCACUCCAGAAGCAUACCCAAGAAAAAUGUACUUUUUAGCUUUAGACUCCAAUUUUCCAUCAUUCACAUGCAUGUAUGUUGGACACCCAAAAACUUUUAAAUUGAAGUAAUCAGCAGGAGUACCUGACCAAACUUCUUCAAAAUUUUUGAAUUCAAGAGAUGCAGAAGGAGAACGGUUGACAAUAUAACAGCCCAUAUUGAUCGUCUCUACUCAAAAGUCAUUUGUCAAUCCUGCAUUGGAGAUCAUACAUCUUGCUCUCUCCAAAAGCGUUCUGUUCAUACGUUCGACCACACCAUUUUGUUGAGGUGUCAUUCUGACAGUACGAUGCCGAACAAUUCCUUCAUUUUUGUAAAAUCUAUCAAAUUCACCUUCACAAAUUUUCAUGCCAUUAUCUGUUCUCAACCGCUUAACAUGUUUUCCUGUUUGUUUCUCAAUCAAAAUUUUUCAUUACUUGAAAGUUAGGAAAACAUCAUUUUUAUGUUUAAGAAAAUAUACUCAAACUUUUCUUGAAUAAUCAUCAAUGAAAGUUGUCGCGCCCCAUUUUUCGCGAUGGAAAAGAAAGUGUUUAUAAAGAAAGUGUUUAUAAAAAGAUGUGAUUUAUUAAUAAUAGAUAAAAAAAAAGGACCUAGAAUGGGACUUAAAAAGAAUGCGACAAUUUGGGUCCAAAAUUUAGUCUAAAAGGGUUUUUAAGAAAAAAUAGGAGUCGCCACUUGGUAUGGGGUUUUGGUGUACCAAGUCACCCAAAAAAUAUUUUUGACAAAAAUAAAAUAAAACCCUUUUCGACAACUCCAGGUCUUUGAAAACAGAGAAAAUGAGUUCGGGAGUCACGGUUGAAGAAAGGGAAGGCAAAGGUUCAAUUAAUUCAAACCUAAGGCACCCUUUCAACCUAGUCUAAGCUAGUUGCGAGGUUUAGCCAAAAUUUUCCUAAUCUAACCCUUGAUUUUAUCAUAUUUGGAUGUUUCUUACAUAGAUGCAAACCUAAAUUUAUAAAAUAUCGAAAAGAUCAAAAUGUUCAUUCAAGGGUUUAAUUGAACCAAUCACAUUAAUUGCGAAGGCCAAAAUAAUUCCUUGAAUGUGUCACGAGUAUGCAAAUGAUGAAAUUAAAAGAAAAGAAAAGAAAAUUAAAUUAUAUACAUAAGGUAUAAGUGAGCAAAGAAAAAUGAAUGCAAGCAUAACGGGUAUGGGGGACAAAAAUUCGUGACAUGAUUUUCUUAUGUAGGGAUUAAUGGAGUAUUUAAACUAAAAAAUUAUAAUCACCCCAUUUCCCAUAUUCAAAGAAUAAUUCUCCUAAUAUGAACAGGCAAAUGAACUAAUUUAAAUGAAAUGCAAUUCUAAAUGACAUGAUUAACACAUAUAGAGGAUAUGGGAUAAUAAAAUAGGGAAUAUCAUGCAAAUGAGAAAAGAUCCUAAAAAUGAAAAUAUGCAUGAAAAUGUGGUGAAUAGUAUACAAUGAUGAAUCUAGCGCAAAAUGACCUAAAGGGUCUAGCGUUGGACUAGCCCAUUUCUAAAAAUCCUUGCUAGCGUUGGACUAGCAAGUAAGCGGAGGGAGAAACCACAACUAGCGUUGGGCUAGUGUGGUGACGUCAUGCAUUAACAAUUCAUAGUGAAACAAAUAAAGCAUAAAUUAAAACAAAUAAACACAUAAGAGCACGUAGCACGUAACACGUAAGCAUAAUAUCUAGAUGCGAAAAUCCUAAGGAAAGCGGAUAAAACACAUAACACAUAAGCCACAUAAACACGCAACCUAUCUAUUACAUCGGGGAGCGCCUAACUACAAUCUAGAAGGGAAAAAUAUAAUAAAACAAAUCUAAUUAUCCUAUCUAUUACAUUUUUGAGGUAAUUAAAUGCCUCUUGAAUCAUUAUAAAAAAUUAACUAAACGAAUAUAAUAUAAGAAAAUUUAAAUGAACAUUUAAAUGCAAUAAAUAAAACAUAUAAAAAUAGAUAAACACAUAGGAGCACAUAGGAGCACAUAAGAGCACAUAAUUGACAUUGAAACAAUAAAAAUAGGGGUACCUCCCGUUUGAAGUGGUGACUAAAUGGAGUCAAAUUGUCCUAUUUAUACUCACAAUGAACAAAAGAAUCAUGGCACCACUUUAAUUGAAAAUAAUAAUAAUGUUAAAACACUAAAUUCACAUUAACACGUCAAACGCAAAGAAAUUUAAGAGCAUCUAAAAAUUGCAAGUUAAAUAUAUUCAAAAGUAACAUAAUUAGCUAUUAAAGAAAAGAAGCAAUCACAAUAAAAAAAAGAGUCAAAAUUCAUUAGGGACUGAAUUGCAAAAAUUGAAAAACUUUUGGGGACAAAAAUUAUAUUUUUCUAAAGUUCAGAGGUCAAAAUUAAAUAAAAGAUAAAAUUCAGGGACCAAAAUGCAAUUACUAUAAGGACCAAAGUGAAAGAAAUCAAAAUGUUCUGGGCCGAAGUGAAACUACUCCAAAGAUCAGGGGCUAAAGUGCAAAUUCGUUAUCAGAUCUUCUUAAGAAAACAGGCCACUGGGCCAUCAUUUUUAUUUCUUUGGGCCAAACAUUACCUAAGCCCAGCCGAAAGUCCAAGCCAAAACACAAGGCCAGCCCGUCUUCUAUCACUCAGACCCAACCAAAAUAAAGGCAUGGGCUCUGACCUUCUAGCCCAACCGAAAUUAAGAAACAAAACCAAAACCCAUUUACAAAACCCAACCAAAACUAACUCUUGGCCCAUCAGAAAAAUAAACAUCAGCCCAAAUCCUUUUUUUUUUUCUUUCUUUCUUUUCUUUCUUUUCUUUUCUUUCUUCUCUUCUUCCUCUUUUCUUUCUUCUUCUUCCACCGAGAAGCUGAAGCUUCUCCCUGCUGGCGGCCAUGGCGGCUGCCGGUGGCGCCGCCGCCGCCGACCGCCACCGCCGGUGACCUCUCCGGUCACCAAAAAUCCUCAAAAUACACCCCCUCACUCGAUUUUUCGCGUAGACUCCAUUUCCGGAGUUAGUUUUUACAAAAAAUGAGUCGAAAGCGGUCAAAAUGCCAAGAAAUCAGUUCAGUUUUUUAUUUUUUAAAACCUUCACAUCUUCACCAAAAAUCAUAAAAAUUAUGCCAAAACCCUCCUGAUAACUUCUACAUUACAACUAUAAUCUUAGUUUGACAAAUAAACAACAACAAAAUAAAGCAUUAAGUCAAAACAGCCCCAAAAAUGAAGAAAAUUAUUCUAAUGCUUUGAAGGCUCAAAAACUCCCAAAAUUUUGGAUAACCAAGCAUUUUCAGAUCUUUGCUAGCUAAUGGUCAUCCAUUUAAGCAAAACAUACACACCAAAUUCACUCCUUUGAUUCAUUUUUUCAUUCAAACAUUUUUUCAAACAUUUGGCAUGCAUUCACAGCACCGUUUCUUUUUUCCUAAUUUUGUUCAUGACCCAUCCCAAAAUUUCAUCCAUACAACACCAACAAAAACCAGCAAAAAUAAGCAAUAAAAAAAGUAACCACACAUACAUUCAAUCUAGUUAAUUAAAAAAAGAAAAGCUGGAAAAAAGGGAGAUAAAUACCUCAAUGAAGAGUUUGGUCCCUUUGCCAAGAUUUUUGAUGAAAUUGCCAAGCUCCAAUCCAACCGAUUGCUGCCUUGUUGUGUGCAAAUGUGUUUGGAUUUUGUGGAAGAAAAUGUGUAGAGGGAGCCCCCUUUUUUUUUUUUUGUUCCUCUUGUCUGAUGAGGGAGAGAGCCGAGAGAGCAAAUUGAGCCAAAAGGGUGGAGUCUUUUUUUUCUUGUCCUCUGUCCGUGAGAGCCGAGAGAGGAGAUUGAGGAAGUAGUUUUUUUUUUCUUUUGUUUGGUUUUUGUUCUCGUCUGUUAAGAGCUAGCCGAGAGAGGGAGGGAAAAUUUUUUCCUUUCUUCCUUCUUCUGUCCUGGAGAGAGCCGAGAGAUGUCUUGUAGCCAAAAUGGAGCUUGUGUGCUGAAUCUUCCAAAAUGAUGAUUUCUCAAUUAAUGAAAAGACAAGUCCAUGGCCAUUGAGUGUGAAAUGGGUUAAUAGUUAAUUUGGUGAAACAAAAUGAUCAAAAUGAUUUUUUGAUUUUUUUUUUGAUUUUUUUUGAUUUUUGUUGUUUUGUUGUUUUUUUUUUCUCUUUUUGUAAAGCAAACCUGCAAAAAUGAGAAAAUGUACAUUAAAAUACAAGAAAAUAAAUAACUUAUUAAAUAGAAAAAUCCUGGAAAAUAUUAAAAAUUGACAAAAAUUUGGUGUCUACAGCUUGCCCCUCUUUGUCUAGAGUUUCAAAGAAACUCAAGACAAAGACGUAGACACCAAAUUGCUUAUCUGUCUCUUGUAGCUGCACCUGAACUAAAAUAAACAAACCAACACUUGGCUGAAAUUAUUGGACAAAAUGAUGCAAUAACAUUGCAGAAAAUGUGACCGGACCCAUGUAGAGUUGCCUACGUAUCCCACCAUGGGAAUCAGGUCAAACGUAGUUCGAAUUACAAGUGAAUCACAAUGAAACAAGUGCAUUGACCAACUGUGGUCUUUGCAAAGUCGAAAAAGUCUGAGCUCUCAGAACUUCUAAACAUGAAACACCAAAUGAAUGAGAAAGCACAACAAUUAUUGGUCAAAACAGUCAAGAAAAGUAACUUGUCAUAAUUAGAAAAAGAUGCGCGGAGGGACGCGAUUACGCUCCAAGAAGGGGGAUAGAAGGGUACGCGGCGGACGCUGAGACUCACCAACAAAAAUUAAAUUGAUCUUUUUAGAAAAAGAUGCGCGGAGGGACGCGAUUACGCUCCAACAGGAAAUUAAAUUGUCAAGAAAGGGGAUAGAAGGGUGCGCGGUGGACGCUGAGACUCACCAACAGAAAUUUAAAUUGUCAAGAAGGGGAAGUAGAAGGGUGCGCGGUGGACGCUGAGACUCACCAACAGGAAAUUAAAUUGUCAAGAAGGGGAGGUAGAAAGGUGCGCGGUGGACGCUGAGACUCACCAACAGGAAAUUAAAUUGAUGCGCGGAGGGACGCGAUUACGCUCCAACAGAAAAUUAAAUUUGUCAAGAAGGGGGAUAGAAGGGUGCGCGGUGGACGCUGAGACUCACCAACAUGAAUUUAAAUUGUCAAGAAGGGGAGGUAGAAAGGUGCGCGGUGGACGCUGAGACUCACCAACAGGAAAUUAAAUUGAUGCGCGGAGGGACGCGAUUACGCUCCAACAGAAAAUUAAAUUUGUCAAGAAGGGGGAUAGAAGGGUGCGCGGUGGACGCUGAGACUCACCAACAUGAAUUUAAAUUGAUGCGCGGAGGGACGCGAUUACGCUCCAAUAGACAAUUAAAUUGAUGCGCGGAGGGACGCGAUUACGCUCCAACAGAAAAUUAAAUUUGUCAAGAAGGGGGAUAGAAGGGUGCGCGGUGGACGCUGAGACUCACCAACAGGACGUUGAGACUCACCAACGCGCGAAUUUAAAUUGAUGCGCGGAGGGACGCGAUUACGCUCCAACAGAAAAUUAAAUUGUCAAAAGGGGGAUAGAAGGGUGCGCGGUGGAACGCUGAGAACUCACCAACAGGAAAUUAAAUUGGCAUUCUUUUUCAACAAUUUGAACAAAGGCUCACAGGUAGAGGUUAACUGUGCAAUGAAUCGGCCAAUGAAAUUGAUCUUUCCAAGAAAACUUUCACAUCUUUUUGACUUUUUGGAAUGGGCAUAUCUCGAAUUGCUUUUAUUUUCGCAGGAUCUAUCUCUAUACCCUUUUUGCUGACAAUAAAACCCAAUAACUUACCAGCCGGAGCUCCAAAAGCACAUUUUGCAGGGUUCAACUUCAAAUUAUACUUCCUCAAUCUUUCAAACAGCUUCUUUAAAUCAACCAAAUGGUCCUCAACCUUCUUGGAUUUAAUUAUGAUAUCAUCCACAUAACCUCCAUCUCUUUGUGAAUCAUGUCAUGGAACAGGUAGUCAUGGUCCUCUGAUAAGUGGCUCCAGCAUUCUUCAACCCGAAAGGCAUCACUCUAUAACAAAAGUUCCCCAUGGGGUGAUAAAAGAGGUUUUCUCUCUGUCUUCUUCUGCCAUUAAAAUUUGAUGAUACCCAGCAAAACAAUCACCAAAAGAUUCAAUUUCGUGUCCAGCAGUAUUGUCCAAAAGAAUAUGAAUGUUUGGCAAAGGAAAAUCGUCUUUCGGACUGGCCUUAUUCAGAUCUCUGUAAUCAACACAUACUCGCACCUCCCCAGAUUUCUUAGGCACUGGCACAGGAUUCGAUAACCAGAUGGGAUAAUGAGACACCAUGAUUAUCUUAGCAUUGAGCUGCUUCACAAUUUGUUCCUUUAUUUGAGACUCAUUUCUGGUUUGAAUUUACGUGGCUUCUGCUUUACAGGUAAAAAAUUUGGAUCGUUGGCAACCUGUGAACCACUAUGUCUGUAGAGAUCCCUGGCAUAUCAUCGUAUGACCAUGCGAACACAUCUUGAAAAACAUUAAGAAUUCAAUCAUUUCCUCCUUUGUUUCCUAUUCAAAUGAAUGCUGACUUUAACUUCUUUAACCUCCGUCUUAGUGCCAAUAUUGAUGAUUUCUGUUUCUUCUAAGUUGGGUUUGGGUUUCUCUUCAUACUGUUUUAAAUCCCUUGAAAUAGACUCAAAUUCUUCCUCAGUAUCGCUCUCGCUUUGAAUUUCAGAUUGCAUGAUUUCAAGUUCAUGAGAGAUAUCGAGAUUGCAGCCAUCGAAUUCCAAAAUGGUGACAUCCAAAGGGUCAAAGGAUUUUAUUUGUGGCCAUCUGAAAAUAGAAUAGAACAUAAGUAAUAAACAAAUAGCAAAUACUGGAGAAGUUUUCAUUUCAUUAAAUUCAAAAUGCAUCGAGACUUCACAAAAAGAUAAAUAUACAGACAUGAUUGCUAUUUAAAGACAUAUUUAACCCAAACCUUUAUUUUCGUUUCAGCAAUUUUCUUGAACAAAGCAAGUUAUAUUAACUGAAACAAGAAUAAAGGUUUAAAAGAUGAAAGCAAUUUCUUUUAACAAAAGAUCCAGACUACUGUCCUAUCUGGAUGUGAUCUAGACAAAAGACAAUCCCCUUAAAUUUACCGAAAUUCCCUUCGAGAGGGAAGAUAAUCAGCAGUCCAAUUCUGAAUAGCUCCUUCGGUAAUUGGCAAAAAUUCUGCAUUCUCUGAUGGCUCCUCCUCACAAGUGCCCCGACAAAUAAUGAGACAGGUCCACUUCAAUCUCCUCCACAGGAUUCUUCGUUUCUGGCAUAAUCACCUCUGAUGGACGAGGAAAAGUGUGAUAUAGCGGGGGAUAUUUAAGGCAGUUUGCUUGCCCUUCUUUUCAGCUUGUUUCGAGCUUGCAUUUCCUUCUAUCCUUAGCAGUCGGAUGAAAUCCCAGUCCAAAUGUAUCCUUCUGCGUCGGGAUCUCUAUUGGCUCCAAAAUUCCUUGCAAUUCCCCCAAGACCUUUUCCUAUUUCAUAUCCGCCUCGGAUCAUCUCCCUAGCCAUCAUAAUACUGGCCUCUGGCAAAUCUGAUUGAGUCAACGACUUAUCCCUGAUGCCCAUCCUACAGAGACUAUGUCAGCAACAUGAUGAGAUGAAAUUGGAGUCCUUUUUGUUUCACCUUGAAUUUUGCAUCAACGAUCAUGGUACAGUCAUCCUCAGCAAACACAGUAAUGAGUGAUCAUUCAAUAAACUCAACAUUUGAUGCAGAGAAGAUGGCACUGAAUUGGAAGCAUGUAUCCAAGGUCUUCCAAGAAAAUGUUGUAAACACUGGAGAAGUCCAUGACUUGGCAAGUAACUUGGAAUUGAGCAGGGCCUAUCUCCAAUACCAGAUCUGCUUCACCCAUAGAUUCCCUCCUUGAACCAUCAAAUCCUCGAACCACAGUUGCAGAUGGACGGAGUUUAAUAUCAAGAAAUCCAAGCUUGGUGAGAGUGUUCCAUGGACAGAUAUUCAACGCUGACCCAUUAUCCACUAAAACCCUCGGCAACAGCUUUCCAUUGCAACGGACUAUAUAUACAAAGCUCUGUUAUGCCCGAUCCCUUCUGCAGUCAGAUCAUCAUCGGAGAAGGUAAUAUGAUUAGCAGCAAGUACAUUCCCCACAAUGUUAGAAAAUUUAUCCACCGGAAUAUCUUUAGGGACUUGAGCUUCGUUCAGAAUUUUGAGCAAUGCUUCUCUGUGCAGCUCGGAAGUCAAGAGAAGAUUCAGAAAAGAAAUCUGAGCAGGCAUCCUAUCCAACUGCUCCACUAUUUUGUACUCGCUUCUCUUUCAGCAUCUUUCAGAAAAUCUACAGCUUCAUUUUCAGACACACGAGGCUUGGGUGUCGGAGAUUUAACCUUGGCCUGGAUUGAACAUCAAUAUCAGUUUUUCACAAUUUCCCAGACUAGUAAUAGUAGAUAAUCUUCCUUUAAGCAUUUUAUCUCCAACAACAGAAUAGAUUCCUCGUAGUUCCAUGGUACCUCUUGCAAGUUAUUGACAGGCAUUUGUUCGGAAAUUCGAGAAUGACAGGCUCUGAUAUAUCCCAUUCAAAAGAUGGUAGAUCCAGAAUAAAAGGAGAUUGUCAACCUCAGAAACUCCCCUUUCAUAUAAAUGGCUCCUCUUUUUCAAAUACAAAAGAUUCAGUUUUCCUCAACAUUAUCGUUGGCAUGGACUUUUCAGACAGACAUUUUCUCAUUCUGCAUGGUCAGCUUCCAUUACGCCAAACGCCUCAGUUUCAUCUACAAUGUACUGAGUGGGAUCGAUAAAAUCUCAUCAGCGAUGAUAACUCCCACAGUACUCCCAUGCUCAGGUAAAGGAUUCUUACUACAUUCGGUCCUUGUUCUCCUUUCUUCUGAGAAGGAUGUCUCCAGAGUCAAUCAUGUCCUGAAUCUUAUGUUUUAGCCCAACAAUUGCCAGUGGUAUGACCUGGACUUCCAGAAUGAUAAGCACAAAUUGCUGCGUAUCAUAACCUGGAGGAAUGCCUUUGGGAUAAAGUUUGGGAGGAACGGUGCCAAUUUUUCCAGCUGCUUUUAACUGCUCAUAUAAUUGAUCAAUUGGUCGGCCCAAGUUGGUGAAAGUUCGAAAUUGUUUCUGGUUUGAAUCCAUUGGUUUGAAAGGAUUUUGAGAGGGUUAUUAUUUUGCAGGGUUGGUCUGGAAUGGUAAAUGGGACGAGUGUGAUUUUGAAAAACGGUUGUGGGUUGGAGGUAACGGUGAGGUAUUCAAGUGAUUUGGUCGGAAUGAUGGAAUUGGGUAGUGGUGUGGUAGACUGGUUGAGAUUGGUGUAAUACGGGUAAGGAAAAGAAUAGGUGGGAUGGUUUUGGGUCUGAAAGACGGGCCCUGAUCCCAUAUAAAAGCAGUUUCUCCUUCUUUCUUCUUGAAUGGGGGUUUUUUCCCAUUGUUGCUUUGAUUUUGUAGAGCAUCUAAUUGCAACUUUAAUGCAGACACAUUAACAAUCUUCCUGCUUUGACAAAUUCAUCGUAUCCUCCAAUUGUUAAUGAUAGCAGCAAAUGAACUUCCAGUCAUGCGAAAGAUCUCUUCAAAGUAGGGUGGAUCGUGAGCUUUGAUGAAAGUACGAACAAUCUCCUCCUCAGUCAUAGGAGGCUCCACUUUGGCAGCUAACUUUCUCCAUCGCUUUGCAUAGGUCUUGUGAUCUUCCGAUGGUUUUCUUUUGUACCCUCCAGUGUCGUUCGUGUUGGCGCCAAUUCACAAUUAAACUCAUAUUGCUUCACAAGGCUGUUGACAAAUCCAACCAGGUUUUGACCUCUUCAGACUUCAAAUUUGAAUACCAAUCUAGAGCAUCUCCCUCCAAACUUUCCGGAAAUAACGCAUAGGCAAACUCUCAUCAUCCACAGGUUUACCUAACUUGUUGGCAAACAUUUUGAGGUGCGUCUUAGAAUUUCCAGUUCCAUCAUAUUUGCUGAAUUUAGGGGUUUUGAAUCCCAACGGUACUGAAUAUUGGGGAAAAGACAUAAUUUAUCGUAGUCCAAACCACCAUGCCUGCUCAAAACCUUGAUUCUUUUUCAUAAAGUCGUCGAAUCGGUCCAACCUUCUUAACAGAUCUUUAUCAACGGGGUAGGUUGUUUCUUUCCAUCGCCGCCUUCCCUUGAGAUGCAGUAUCCAGUACAAAAGGCUCUGCAGUAUGUGGUGGGCCCCUGAGGUUGGGGGAAUGUUCAGAUUGGUUUGUGGAUGGGUUUGAGGAUUUGACUACUGGUUGGGUUUACCAAUACAUAAUUUGGAUGCAUAUAUGAAAAGUCUGAAUUUAAUCGGGCAAAGUAUUUUCAAGAGGGUUACGAAAGGAGGAAAGAAAGGUGCUUGGGUAUUGGAUGUGUGGGUGGUUGAUAGUCUUGGGCAGGUGGUGAUUAUCGAUAGGUUCUUGGUCGUUUGGGACCCCCACCAUUGUUGCUGGCGACCAGCUGAUCAAUUACACGCCUUUGUGCGGCCAUUUCAGCACUUAACUCACUGAACUUGCCAAGUACCUCACUUAACUGAGCUCCCAAUGCUGUGAAGUCCGGUGAUUAACCAUAGCANNNNNNNNNNNNNNNNNNNNNNNNNNNNNNNNNNNNNNNNNNNNNNNNNNNNNNNNNNNNNNNNNNNNNNNNNNNNNNNNNNNNNNNNNNNNNNNNNNNNNNNNNNNNNNNNNNNNNNNNNNNNNNNNNNNNNNNNNNNNNNNNNNNNNNNNNNNNNNNNNNNNNNNNNNNNNNNNNNNNNNNNNNNNNNNNNNNNNNNNNNNNNNNNNNNNNNNNNNNNNNNNNNNNNNNNNNNNNNNNNNNNNNNNNNNNNNNNNNNNNNNNNNNNNNNNNNNNNNNNNNNNNNNNNNNNNNNNNNNNNNNNNNNNNNNNNNNNNNNNNNNNNNNNNNNNNNNNNNNNNNNNNNNNNNNNNNNNNNNNNNNNNNNNNNNNNNNNNNNNNNNNNNNNNNNNNNNNNNNNNNNNNNNNNNNNNNNNNNNNNNNNNNNNNNNNNNNNNNNNNNNNNNNNNNNNNNNNNNNNNNNNNNNNNNNNNNNNNNNNNNNNNNNNNNNNNNNNNNNNNNNNNNNNNNNNNNNNNNNNNNNNNNNNNNNNNNNNNNNNNNNNNNNNNNNNNNNNNNNNNNNNNNNNNNNNNNNNNNNNNNNNNNNNNNNNNNNNNNNNNNNNNNNNNNNNNNNNNNNNNNNNNNNNNNNNNNNNNNNNNNNNNNNNNNNNNNNNNNNNNNNNNNNNNNNNNNNNNNNNNNNNNNNNNNNNNNNNNNNNNNNNNNNNNNNNNNNNNNNNNNNNNNNNNNNNNNNNNNNNNNNNNNNNNNNNNNNNNNNNNNNNNNNNNNNNNNNNNNNNNNNNNNNNNNNNNNNNNNNNNNNNNNNNNNNNNNNNNNNNNNNNNNNNNNNNNNNNNNNNNNNNNNNNNNNNNNNNNNNNNNNNNNNNNNNNNNNNNNNNNNNNNNNNNNNNNNNNNNNNNNNNNNNNNNNNNNNNNNNNNNNNNNNNNNNNNNNNNNNNNNNNNNNNNNNNNNNNNNNNNNNNNNNNNNNNNNNNNNNNNNNNNNNNNNNNNNNNNNNNCAAUCUUCCUUCUACUCGCUCAAAUCUGUCUGAAGUAACUUUUGCGAGCUUUUCCACUGCCAUCUCCCAACCAGGUUUAGUUUCAACUUGUUGUUGCCUUGAUUGAAAUCCCGGUGGAUUGGCUGGCCUUGGUUGAUUUCCUUGAUCCUUCCAUCCAAAGUUUGGAUGAUUUCUCCACCCCGGAUUGUAAGUAUUCGAGUAGGGGUUAUUUUGAGCAUUACGAUUGUAAUUAUUAACGAAUUGUACCUGCUCAGAAUCAACACACUCAUUAGUAUCAUGUUCACCUCCACAUAUAGAACAACAUGCUACAUGUGCAUUAGAUGAACUUGGACCAACUCCACUUUGUCUACUUAGCAACUUCAUCACAUUAUUCAUUUGAGUACUCAGCAUAUUGAGAGUGUCCAUUUCUAUCAUACCUGCGUGACGUCUUGUAUUACCUCUCUCAUUGGCCCAUUGGUAGUUGUUUGCAGCCAUUUCUUCUAUCAAAUUCUGAGCUUCUUGGGGUUAUUUACCCAUUAAAGCUCCACCUGCAGCUGCAUCGAUCAUAGUUUUAGUAGAAAAACUAAACCAUUAUAGAAGGUUUGUAUGAUUAACCACUCCGGCAGUCCAGAUGUGGACAUUUCCGAAGCAAAUCUCUAAACCUUUCCCAUGCCUCAUAUAAUGAUUCACUUUCUAAUUGGCAAAAACUAGUGAUAUCCAUUCUAAGUUAGCAGUCUUUACCUGGUGGAAAAUACUUAUUUAAGAAUACUCUUGAUAACUCAUCCCAUCCAGUGAAAGUAUUAGGAGCAUGAGAGUGUAACCAAAGUUUGGCCUUAUCUCUCAAUGAAAAUGGGAACAAUCUUAGCCUUAUAGCAUCAUCACUAACUCCAUUCAUUUUAAUUGUAUCACAAAUUUCCAAGAAUGUAGCUAAGUGUGUAUUAGGGUCUUCUACUGCAUUACCUCCAAAUUGAGAUUGUUGAACCAUUUGGAUAAGUGCUGGUUUAAUCUCAAAAUUGUUAGCAUUUACCGUAGGCCUUACUAUACUCGUUUGAGAUCCUUGUGUUCCCGGUAGAGCAAAAUCUCGUAGAACUCGCCUAUGUGCUUCGUUUUCUGCCAUGUCUUCUUCAAAUGGAAGCUCUAUUAAGAUAUCUUAUUGGCUGCCAAACCUCUUUUUCUCUUGAUGUGAUGUACUCCUCCUUUGUCUGUGUAAUGUUCUUUCAAUUUCAGGAUCGAAAUGUGCAACUUCUCGAUUUGAUCGGUGCAUACACUACAGACAAAAACAAGAGAAAUUUUGCAGUUUAAAUUCAACAACUUGAAAUAAAAAAAAAUGAAAAUAUCUAAAGUAAUAGAGAUGAUUAGGCCCUAAUAUUGCCGCUCCCGGCAACGGCGCCAAAAACUUGACGGGAUAUUUUGUAUCUAUACAAGUUUAAUUCCGAUUUUACACCCGUUGGACUGCAAGUAUACAGGUCGCAAUUGUAGUACAAGAUGUGUAUCGGGUCGAUCCCACGAGAAGCAAUUUAAACAAUUACUAAGCCCUUGUUCUCUCUAUUAUUUAGACUUACAAUUAAUUUGAGCAGAGAAAGUCUAAUGCUGUAAUCUACAAAUCUGAUAUACAAAUCUAGUUUAACAAAUACUGAGUACAAAUAGAGAAAUUUUACUUAAGGAAGAUUCUAGGGAUGUAGAUUCCACUUAUGGCAUAAACUACACAAAUGAAUGGAUUUACUCCUUGCUAUUAUUCUUGCUUAACCAGAGAUUUAUUUCCAAGAAUACCAAGUCUCAUUUUCAUGAUGAAAUGGCUUAGAGCAAUAUAGAUUUCCCUAUUUUCAUGGUGAAAUAUUCUACUACUCCGUUUUAUUUCAUGAAAUGCUCAAUAAUCCACCUAAGUGUAUCUCUAUUUUCAUGAACAUACAACUCAAGCUCUACUCAUGUAUUUCAAUUGUUAUUACCAAUUCUCAUUGAAUAAUAACACUAUAAAUAUGCUAUUGGUGAUCAAUCAACAACACGUAAUCACAGCUACACAAGUAGACAAGUUACUACAAGAUAUAACAAGUGUAAAUCACAUUCCAUUCAUAUUAUUUAACCAUAAGCUUCAUCUACUCCCUAGAUUAAGGGGUUUAGCUACUCAUGAAUGAUUUAAUAAUCAAACUCACAAGUUUAUUAAUGCCAAACAUCAUGAAGUACAAGUACAAGAAAGAUAAAAGAAAGCUUAGCCACUUGAAGGUGAAGCUCUCCAAUUCCUGCUAUGCUCUUGCACAAUAUGAUUACAAGUAAAAACUCCAAGUACUUCUCCAAGAACUCCUAUCUAGAGAGAAACUAGAUACCAGAAAGAAAACUAGUUACGUAUGGUAAUCCCUCUUCUCCCCAUCUUUCUGCAUAAAAAUGUGGUAGAAAUUCCAUUCCUCUCACUUCAUAAUUUCUUCCACUCAGAUUUUGUAAAAAGAGGUCAAAGAUAUGAUGUCUCCUUUUGUCCACAUUCAUUUGGUCUUCUCUUUUGUUGCAGAAGCAUGUGCCACCGAUUUCUGUCCCUCAAAAUAGCUGGAAAGUUAUGAAAAAGGUAAAGAAAAACGGCUAUGGCACUUGCUGAGGAGAGAGACAGAUCCGAGCCUCGGAUCCGAGGAGUGAAAAUUGGAUCCGAGCUCGGAUAUUAGGAUCUGAGGGCUUCCAUGAUGGAUCCGAGGUCGGAUCGUCCUGACCUCGGAUACACUCCGCCAGAAGUACAGACUAGGGGUCGGAUCCCUCUUGUACACACAGAUCCGUGCUCGGAUCUGUGUUGAACAAUUUUCCAGUUUUUCACUUCUUCCCUUUUUCUACAUUUUUGCUCCCAAUUUCUUGUGUACUUUGUCUUCUGAAUGACCCUGACAUUUCUUUCAACUUGUGCAUGAAUUUCAUACAUCAAUUACCUUCACAAUUUCACAAAAUUAACGCAUUAAUCCACUCAUUUAUUAAUUUCUGAACUCUUAAACAAUAUUUAAGCAAUUAUCACCAAAAGAGUUCAAAUAUGGCUUUAAUCUUCUCAAAACAUACCAAAAAUUCAUGCCAAAUUCGUACAAAAUGUACGUUAAAUAUUCACUUAUCAAGGAACCUCUUUAGGAAUUUGAUUGGUAUUAGGAAACCAAUCAAUUAAGCAAUUUGGCAGGGAGAAUUCAGCAUAUAGCUCUUGCUUAGGAACAAAGCAUAGUUAUUCUUGUUUUCUUGACCGAUUGACAAGAAGACAAUUGGAAAGCUUCGAACAGAUUUUUGCAUGGCUUGUUCUCCAUUAAUGGAGAACUAAUUUCAUAUUUCUAGUCAAGGGCGACAAUUGAAGAUUUGGUUCAACAAUAACUGUGAUCUAAAUUAUUUUAAUUGCUUCUUUCAUUCAUUGGUAUUUAUAUGUUUUUGCUUUAAUGGCUAUGACUACUGUGUAUGAUUGAAUAGUUGCGCAUAUUUAAUUAUUCACGUAGUCUAUUUGCUAAUUGGGGGUAGUUGAAUCCGUAAUUGUUUGAUUACUCCAUCCCGGUAGCAACUAGCAUGAUUGGUUUCAUGUUAGGAAAACGUAUGAUAUAACUUAAAUGAACCCUCGUAGUGUGUUUGUUGGUUAGAGUUGGGCUUUUCCAAUUCUUAUUGCAAUCGAAAAAUGAAAUCCUAUGAUCGUAUUUAGGGUUAUUUCUUGUUUGGUGAAAUAGUUAAUGAUCAUACCUUAACUAUCGAAAAAGUAAGGAAAGGCUGGUUGUUUAUCGCAUGCAUGACAACUAUAACCAAUCUAUUAAUGAGUAAUUGAAUUAUCUUUGCAUCGAUGAUCAGUUGAAUGAACCGUGUCUGAAAAGUGCACCUUUGAUUAGAAUCGUAUUGGUUAUUGAUUAAUUCAUGUUUAUUUCUGUUAGUUGUUUCAUUAGUUAGUUAAUUAGUUAUUUUAUAUUCUCCAAAAACCCCCCAUACUUCAGACCCUGGAAGAAACGAAUUAUCCCCAAUCCCUGUGGAUUCGACCCUACUUGCCCAAUAUACAAAUUAGAGAUUUUUCGUGAAUAAAUUCUGGUAUAUCGGAUUUAGCAAACUCUUCGGAACCAGGAUGAAUCUAGUAACCCAUUGCACAUCUAGAGUCCCUGCUCCAGUACCAGAAUUGACACGAAGUUGCUUCCGUUGGCAAUUAGGAUUAUUAAUAUUAUUAUUACACAGACUCGAUACCUGUCAAUACUCACCUAACAAACCUCCACCCGAGGAAAUUUUUUUUUAAAAAAAUCUACAUUAGGGUAUACAUUAGCAGAAAAUGAAAAAAAAAAAAAACUUUAGACUGCAAUCUAGUAACAUGUGUCCCAGGUGCACAAAGAAAUUGAAACAUAUAGAGCUUUGAUUGUCAAAAGUAGCACUAGUACUCCUCGGAGUUUAAUUCAAAUACAGAUGAUCAAAUAUGAGUGACGCCUUGCGCAUAGCGGCAAUAGAAAACUAUGAAAGGAUAUGCCACGGUGUGUCAGCCAACCGUCUUUAGAGUUGAAAUUCUUUCAGGAGCUUCUGUGAUUGUAUGGUUUUGUAAUCUAGCAGCAUCAGAUUUUGUGAGGCGAUGCGUUGAUGAAACUUGGGUAUUGGUAUUCAAUCCCAAGAUCUUUCAUGUAAAAUGACUCGGAUGCGGCAAAAGCCUUGGAUUCUCUGCUCCGGUCAACUUGAAAUUGGACUAGUCCCAGCACUUUAGGAAGUUGGUUAUUAGCACAUUUAAAUUUUUAUACUAAUUGUAGUAAGUAAUAUUUGGAGGGACCAUAAGUUCAGGUUGAAAAGAGGCAUGGUGAAAAUCUUUCCAAAUACAGACCCUACUACUUGUACAAAUAAAAGAGAGAACAAAAAUAUAUAACCCAUUAACACAUACUAAAAGUUUUUACAGCAAUUACAUGGUGAAUUCAUUAAAUUAGGCAUUUGGUUGACUUUGACAUGUGUGUCAAGUCAAAACAUUGUCAAAAAUUGCAACUUAUUGUAUACUGAUUUACUCGGCAAAAAUAAAUUUAGUUAAUUAUUUAUUGAUAGGAAAAAACUUUUAAAAUUUUGUUUUUCUUAAUAGAUACAUCGAAUGCCAUUGUUAAUCUCCACGUACUUUGAGGCACCAUUAUUGCCAACCUUGCGUCUAAGCAUUUAUCCAUACAAAAAUAGGUGAUUUUAAAAGCUAAAGACAUUUUUCAACCUUUAAAUGUAUUUUAAUAUGCAUAAACAACACGCUUAACCGCAUGUAUUUAUAAACUUUGCCACUGGAUAAUGCCUAAUUGGCCGUAACAAAUGAAGUUUCGGUACUUGAGGUGACGCACUAGUGAAACCAUGCAUUCCAGGGAUAAGAAUUAAACUUGGAAAUCUGAAAAAGAUAACUAAAGAAUAAAUAUUAGAAUCAAUAAUAUAAAAAAAAAAGUUUCCAAAUCAAAUCAAAAUUAUUGAAAAUUGACCAAAGCUCAAAUCCAAAUCAAAUAAAUCCUUACACGUUAAACCCACGAGAAACCUGUUAUCAAGAGGUGCAAUUACCACUUGAUAAAACUCCAAUGUAGCUAUCACCUCGUGGAUCACACAUAUGUUGGGUCCUCUUAAUUAUUUUCAGUUGGUACGAAAUCAUUCAGAUAUGAUUUCCGUGACAAAUUCUGAGUGUAACGCAAUAUUCACCUCAACCAGUUGAGACAUUGUCUGAUAACCAUGAAAUUUGACUCUCCAAUUCUUGGGUUUUGCCUCUCUCUUUAUAAGGUGUAGAAUGUGGGUUUUCUUUCGAAUGAACCUGGUUCUAAAGAAUGCUAACUGGCUGACAAUUGCGGAAGUUUUUGUGCAUAUCUCUACCAUGAAGCCAAUCAAAAUGUGAAUGGACUAGACAUAAAGGGCAGUAGUUUAAAAUUUGUAGUGAAAUUAACUUAAUUACCUCAAUGGGAUUGAACUAAAAAAUGCAAUCUUCUAUUCAGACAAAAUUCAUAAGUUCUAAGUUCAUUAAGAAAGAUCAAUGCCUGUCAUAUUAAUGCAAAAUUAUUGAUAACAACAAGAAGGAUACUUUUAGAGGUGAUAUAGUCUAGAGUCCAUGCAUCUAACCCACUCUCUUGACAUAGAUCGGAGUUCAGUGAGCGUUAAACUCAAGUCCAUUGGCCAAAAAAAAAGAAAAAAAAAAAAAGACUCAAGUCUAUUCAAAAAACCAAACAUUGGACUCCAAACCAGUGAUGUCGAAUUGAUUAUCCAUGGACGCUAAAACCGCCAGAAACAAGUCAUCAAGAGGUGAAACUACCACAUACGACAAUACCCAAUUAUUUAGCAAAUCAAGGAUAAGGAUUAGGACUGUCAAUGGGGCUGAGCCAGCCCGAGCUCGGCUCGUUCGGCCCGACAGAAAACCCGAUGAGCCCUAUCAUUUAGUGAGUCGGUCUGAGCUUGAGCCUAAAAAUUAGGCCCGAAUUAAAUGUGAGCCGAGCUUGGGCCUUAUUAGGCUCAAACCCGAUAUAGGCCCGACCCUUUAAUUACCUAUAUAUAUAAUAUUUAUAUUUUGAUAUUAUGUAUAAUUAUAUAUCCAAAUAUAUUUUUACUAAAUACUAAAUAUAUAUAUAAAUUACAAAACACAAAAAUACAUCUAAAGACUCUUUCAUGAGCUUUCUUGAGAGCCAAUAUUAGUAAUGCAUAACUAAAUCUCUAAUUUUUCUUAUUGGUUGAGUAAAUUUUUGUAUUGGCAUAUUAUUGGUUGAUUUUUUUUUGGUCUACAAACACAAAAAUCAUCAAGCAUGUUCGGAUUUAAAUCACAAGAUUAUAAAAAAAAAGUUUCAACUUUUAAAGAUGCAUUGGCUUAUGAUCGCAUGUUUUAUUACUAUUUUUCAUGCAUUUUAAACGGAUUAAAUAUAAAUAUUGUUGAAAAUUUUUUGGUUUAUAUACUUUUUAAGAACUAUUAUUUGUUCAUGUUUAGUUUUAAUAUUAUAGUCUUGUAUAUGUUAAAUUAGUUUUACAACUUAAUAGUUAUAGUAAUUAUAUUAAGAAAAUUAAGGAGUAAUAAGUGAGCAUGGGCUAAACCCGAUUAAGGCUCACAACCCAAAUAUUAUAUGAGCUAAGUAUGAGUUUCACAUUUACGAACCCGAAACUCAUAGCCCGAAGCCCAAAAAUGUUUCAAAUUAAAUGAGUUAACUUGAACUCAUCAAAGCCCGGCUCAUUAGGCCCGAUUGACAGGCCUAAUAAGGAUCAGACAAGUAUCAGGGUAUUAAUAGUCCUCUAUAUUAUUUAUUUGCAGCUGGUACGAAGUCAAUUAAUCAGAGAUACCCACCAAAUGACACAACUUAAGACUUGAAGGAAAAAUAUGAUUGCUGAAGAAUCGUUAUCAGAAUCAAAUCAUUGCACCUUAAAUACAACUUUUUGGAUUCGUUAGGUUUGCAUCGAGGUGGAGAAGAUCUCAAUUACAUACAAGCAAUUAACAGCAGAAGAAACAUAGCUUUAAUAUCUGAUUCUAGUAAUGGUUUCUGGCAAAGAAUACGUUGUCCUUCACGAGUAAUGUUUCUAGAAACAAUCUUUAUAUUUUUGUGUUUAAAAUAACUUGAAGAAUACGGCAAAAGUAAGCUUUGGUUUGUGGACUGAUGAGUAAACACUAUGAAAUGAUGAGUAAACAUCAACACUAUAUGUCUGGAAAGAGAGGAAUUACAUUAUUUUUAGCAACAAGGUUACUAAAAUUGGGGGUUAUUAUAACUUUAUCCCUUUAAACUAUAGUGCUAAUAUCAAUUUACCUUUUUAACAUUAUUUUGCAGGCAUUUGACCUCGCAGUUAUUCUCCUUUUUCAUUCUAAAGGACCAAGAAAAAUGUAAAAGGGUUCCCUUUUUUUUUCAUUCUCAACUAUUAAGAAAAAAAAAAAGAAAUUGAAUAGAGGUUGACAGAAAACUCAAUUUCAGAAAAAAGGAAAAUAAAGAAGAAUCCAAUAUUAUAAUUAAUUUAAAAUAAGUUAGAGUGGGCGGUAGGGGUGAAGAGUAAGUAGUAAUUUUAAAAUAAUAAGCACAUUGGAUUCUGUAUUAUUUUUAUUUUCUUUUUUAAAAUUGAGUUAUCUCUCUAUUUUCUUAUUUUAAGUAUUGAUAAGUACACGAGGAAAAAAAGAAGAAGACAUUUUUUUGACUUUUUUCCCCUUGUUAUUAAAGAGGGUGGAAAAAAGGGAGAAGACACUUUUUUAUUUUUUUUCUUGGUAUUAAAAGGGUGAAAAGGGGGAAAAAACCAUUCCAAUUUUUUUAAAAUUUUUAAUCAUACAGGAGAGGGAUGUAUUUCUUCUAAAAUAUUAGGUAAAUUAUAUAUAAUUUCCUGUGUUUUCAUCUAUUGCCACAUGAUUCCCAAAACAUUUUAGGGUUUUAUGCGGCUGAUGUAAGGGAAAAAAUUCAUAUUAAUACCUUAAAUUUCCCUUAAGGAGUUUUUAUAUUUAAAUCAAAUUAUUCAAUGAAUAUAUUUUUGUUUUUCUCCUAGUCUCAAAGAGUCUUGCCUCAGGCCUAAAUCAUUUCCGCUAUAUUCCUUUGGCCAAAUUUACAAUCGUAUAUUUGUGUUUGUAGCCGUUGAUUGAACUUUAGUCUUAGGAAAAAUGAUAACAAAUGGAAAGAGUGAGAUACAAGUCAAUUAAAAAACAUGAUUAACACUAGAAUUUGUGAGACAUGGAGACUUGGAUUAUAAAAAGGAUAAGAAAACUUGAAUAGGUGAAAAAAGGUGCAUUAAAACUAUACGAAAGAAGUAGCAUAACAGUGAUAUAGUAUUUGGUGAUGAGCAGAUUCUUGGUGAUAUGUUUUUUAAGUUUGAUAGGCAUUUUAUUACUUUUGGGAAGAUUAUUAUAAUCAUUUUGAGUCCUUAAGAAAAGCAUGGAAGUAUAAUAUUUGAAUAUAGAGGUGGGCAACGUGAGAUUAUCAGAAAUCUUAGAAGAAGUUUUUGAAAUUAUCCUUUGCUGUAAUACUAUUCUUUUUUUUUUCUACUUUGUGAUUAUUGAUUUCCACAUUCACACUCGAAAUGCUAAGGCAAAAAGCAAAAUUCAAAAGUAGUGGGUUGGUGGCUCAGCUCAUAUGAUUCUGAAAUACAACGAUUUAUUGGGCACAUUCUACCCAGUAUUGUCUGUUGGCAGAUUUGGAAAGCAAGGAAUAAAGCAAUGUUUGAGGAUAUUCAGAUGAGCCGCUUGCCAUUUGUCGUGCCAUUUUCUCGGAAAUCCAGACCAUUGUGGGAAUUUAUUUCAAACAAGUGUUCAGAGUACAGUCAUUUCAUCAUUUGUAUGAUUGGUCGUAUUCUUCUCAUACUGAGGUUACAUACAAACUUGUUCGUUGGGAAGCAAAGGAAUCCGAUCGGUUCAUAUUAAAUACGGAUGGCUGUUCUAAGGGCAAUCCAGGGAGUGAGUGGAGGCGGUGGGGUUCUUCGGGAUUCAAAUGGCAUACCUUUGAUUGGCUUUUCGGCAUAUCUUGGGGAAACUACAAGUCUAUGUGCAGAGGUUCGGGCACUCCUUAUUGGGCUUCAAACUUGUGUACAUAGGGGUUUUCAAAAUCUCUAUGUUCAAUCGGAUUCUUUAUUAUUAGUUGGAAUUCUUCAGAAUCGCAUUCAAUGCCCCUGGAAGAUUCGACGAGAGAUUAGGCAGAUUUGGCAGUUGGUGAAAGAUCCUGAUCGUUUUUCGCAUUGCUAUAGGGAAGCUAACAAAGUUGCUGAUGCGCUGUCCAAUGUGGGCGUAUUUCAUCCAGAGCAUCAAGUCAAGCUUUACGAGGCCUUUAAUUCGUUCCCAACUAUGGCUCGUGGGGCCAUUCGACUUGAUAGAUUAGGAAUGCCUUCAAUUCGGAAAAGUAAGCGUAUGAAGGGCUGAGAACAAAGGACAACUGGAGCUAAUAUGCGGUUGCGGUUGCGGUUGAAUGAGACAUGGAGGUUUUGUGUGCUUUAUUACCUUUUCAGUCGAUUGCUGUACUUCGAAUUGGUCUUUCUCAAUGUGUAAAAUUUGCUCCUAUCAAUAAAAUAAACUAAUAUUUAAUUAAAAAAAAAAGCAAAAUUCAAGGAUGAAAAUGAAAAAAAAAAAAAAGACAAGGUUAUAAACAUAGGGAAAGACUCUAUAUUUGAUUAAUGCUAAAAUAUUAUAAAAUGAUUAUAGAAUUUCUUUUUCAUUUUUUAUGAGUGACAUUUUUAUUAAGAAAAUUUAGUAGGGGAAUGAUGGGAUUUAAAAAGUGAAAAAAGAACAAAGAGAUCAAAAUUCAGGAUCUCUAAUUCUUGGGAGUAACAUGAUAAUAUUAUUUCUAAAAAUCCAAUAUCAAAUCCUAUUGGUGUAAUAUAAAGGAAUUUGGAUGAUUGAAGUGUUUAAAAUAUAAAAUACUUCUAAAUUAUAAUAUCUUAUUCAUUAGUCGAAUGUGGAAUCUUAUGUUUGUUGCCCCUUUCUUUUUUGCUUUGGAUUUGGGUUUUGAACUUUGAGUAUGAAUUGAGUAAGAUUAUAGCAUGAGAAGGUUCAUCAUGUUCAUUUAAUUAAGGUCUUCCUGCAUUUAAAAUGGGAGCUUACAUGACAAAAAAAAAAGAUUAAAAUGGUAAUAAUUUACAAAAGAGCAUCAUAGUGGGAACAUUUUUCCUAAAAAAGGUCAUUUCAGAACUAAAUUCCGUGAAUCCAUGGUUUCAUGUGGGGUUUCUUUUCAUGGACGUGAUUAACAUCAUGUCUCUUAUCAUUUCGAUGAGGAUUAUUAACAUCCAAGUCCUAGAGCCUGAUUGCAUUAGUACUAUCCUUGGCCUUGGGUAUAAUAUCACAAGUUCCUCCCUGUAAAGGUUGCAAUGCGUUUUAAGAGAGUGAGAAUUAAGUAUAUCACGGGAAAAAAAAAAUUAAUGGCAAAGUAACUUACCAGAACAACCAACAGAUGGAGGAGGAUAAUCCAACAAGCAAGUCCUUUGGAAUCCAUCAAUUGGUAGGUUUUAUAUCCCUUGCAACUCCUCCUUUGAAGGAUUAGGCAACAGCAGAAGCAAAUGCCAAAUAUUACAUAUCGAUGAAAAGUGUGCUUGAUUAGAAGGUUCUUUUUCAAAUAGUCGAUUAAAAUAUGACCCCUUGACAGAUAGUGUUUCUUAUUGAGGUUGAAAAAUGAACCAAAUUAUUUGAUACUCAAAUCAAAUUUGGCUAAAGAAAAGUUUGUUUGAACUUAGUUUGCCAACUAAUCAAUUUAAAAUUUAAGAAGUAUUAUUAUGUGUUAGAUUAACUAUCAAAUUUGGCAUUAACUUGGCUUGAUUAACAUAAAAUUAGAAUUUACAAGUAAAAAAUUCAAGUUACUCAAGUUCGACUCAUGCUCGAUUCUAUAAAAAAACUCAUUUGAGUUUGGCUUAAUUAAUAAACAAGUCAAAUUUGAAGACCUUCCUCUUAAAAAAAUUUUUAAAAAAUCAAGUUUGAGUACAGUUUUAAGUUUAUUAAAUAAUCUAACAAGUUUGAAUACUAGAACAUUGAAUCUAGUAGACCUACACAAAAUCACUAAAUUUAUUUUAGACCAUAACUGUAGAUUGUUUAGAAAAAAAAGGACCAAAAUGUAGACCUACCCACGUGACAAAACCAGCCACGUGAUCCAUGCUGUAACCUUGCUAGCUUCACUUAGCUAUCGCCUUGUAUAAAUAGCCGUAUACCCCAAGAGUCUUUUCACCACCAAAGUUACAUUUUGAGGCUUGUCAUAGGCAAGGCAUGGCUUCAUCUAUCACUCUGAUCGCAGUCUUUUCAAUUGCCCUGGUAAGUUCUCAACCAUCAAUACUGUACUUGAAGUAGUAGUUCAUACGAGAUAAUUGCUAGACUGUAUAGGAAUACUGAUGAAACCCGUGAAUUAAAGCUACCUGAGAAAACACAUUCUUCUUCCUUUUUGCACAUUCAUCUGCAGCUCUAACCAUCGCCACUGAAGGAAUGGAAGCUCUUCAGAUGCUCUGUAGUUCUAUUCUGAUAAAAUCUUGACUUCCAAACAUUACCAAUGCUGGUACCAUACUUAAACGUCAAUGUAACUUGAGUAAUGGCAUAUGACACUAUUUACCAUUUUUUAGUUGGAGGAUUCAUCCGGGAAAGCUUGAAGGUCAAAUCAAUACCUUAAAAUCAACAAAUGAAUAUUCCUGUUGCCAGUUGAGCUCGUAUUUGGACAUAACUAUCCUUCCCUACAAGGGGUCAUCUUUUACAGUGCUACCAUCAACGUACCUAUAUGGCUAUAUUGACGUUAGUUUCUUUUAUGGUGAUAUUUGCACUAAUGUGCAGUUUGGAUGCAUCACGGAAGCAAGGAAGAAUCCUACGGACUUUUUGCAAUCUGCUGUCAUUAAUGAGCAUACUGAGGACAAUCACCAUGCAGAGCCGUCCCCUUCCAAUCAGAAGAAGACAACUAAUGGUAACACAUUGAAAGACUUUGAGUCGAAGCGUGGCUCCCAUCUCUUCUAUCAUGGCGACGACGCUUCUCCUCUGGUGAAAGACUUUGAGUCGAAGCUUGGCUCCCUUCUCUUAUAUCAUUAUGGCGCCGAGGAGAAACCUCUGAGGAAAGACUCAUUAUUUGGCGCUCCUCUGAGGAAAGACUUUGAGUCGAAGCUUGGCUCCCUUCUCUUAUAUCAUUAUGGCGCCGAGGAGAAACCUCUGAGGAAAGACUUUGAGUCGAAGCUUGGCUCCCUUCUCUUAUAUCAUUAUGGCGCCGAGGAGAAAACGCUGAUGAAAGACUUUGAGUCGAAACGUGGCUCCCAUCUCUUCUAUCAUGGCGACGACGCUAAGCCAAUGAAAGAUAAUUAAUGUCCAGGGAAGCCGCAACUUUACCUCUGUACGGACUACGGACCUGUGUCUCUUCUAGCUGGUCCGUUUUUAUCCAUUGUCUUCUUUCAACCAAGCGUUCCGUAAUAAAUGUCAGUACAGUUGAGUGCAUUUUCUGUUUCUUUGUUUGUUGUUCUUUUUGCCAUUUACCAUAUACAGGAAGUGCACAAAAAAUGAGCACUAUUCAAGCAUUAUAAGAAUCGUAGAGUGAGCGAACCGCUUUACCUUGAUAAUCUAAAAAGAGUUCUGCAAACUCGUACUCUUGUACGAAACCAGGACCAAAUAUAUAUAUAUAUAUAUCGAUUCAAUUUUCUAACUAUGUGUGUGGUACGAAUGCACAUUAGAAGUACAGAAAAUUCUCGAGUAAACUUUCACAAAAGAAGGGAAAGAAUGGAGAACUCUUGAAGCGUGAUUGAUCGCUACUCUUAGGAAUUUAAUUAUCCAUACUACACUAAGUAUUUGCUGUAGAGAUAUGGUAAUUUAACUUUAAGAUACAACAAGAGAAGAAGCAGUUGAUAGCAAAUAUCAAGUUUCUCAAACUAAGAAAUGAUCAAAUAAUUCUAGCUAGUUUUGACAUUAAAAGGCUUGUUUAUUUACAGGUAACCUUGUUUUCUUUUUGUCCCAAUUAUUUGACUUUAAACUUGGUUCUGUGACAUGGAUUCUACGUGUUAGUAUACACAACACUAAUCCUAAACAUUAAGUGAAAAUCAUAUUAUGGGUAACUGAGUACCGCAUAACUUGCAAUUAUCCACUUACGCACUCAAUAUUAUUGGAAAUUACAUGGAUUUUUGUUUCGGUAACUCUAAUUAUAGUCUCAAGAUCCAUCUUAAUUGAAGGGGCCAUUAUGAAUUAGAUGAACAUGAAAUUGUAUUUCGAUUCUCAAGCUAAUCCCUUCCUCUUUCUCCAUUGUAAGGAUUAGUCUCUCUUUUUUUUUUUUAAGUGCUCUAAUUAUACAGGAUUAAAGCAAGUAGCAAUGGUCUAUAAAAGGAUAAAAAGUAAGCAGGGGCAUAUUUAUUAAAACAUGAAAAUAAUAUGAAAUUUUAUAAUACGCAUGAUAUGAAUAAUGAAUUGUACGUCAAUAAUGCCAAUAUAUUUGAAAAGUACAAAGCUGAAAAUACAGCUUCACUUACUAUGUGCAUAAUAAAUAUUUUAGCGAAGAUUUUUUAUUUUUAGUGUAAGUGAGAAAUUUGAACUCCAAACCUUUCACUUACACUCUUUUUUCAUACCAUCCAAUCCAUCCCUACAUUUUUAUGAAGAUGAGCACAUAAUGUGAGUUUUUAUUUUUUGAGGUGAAUAACUUGUUCACAAAAAAGUUUACUCGAUUUAUGUAAAGUUUAAACUUUGGGCUGUCUAAACAACGCAAGUAGAUGGCACUAGGACACAAUUCAUUAUGAUGACUUCAUCCAAGGUAACGAAAAAAAAGUUGUACAAUUGCACUUAAAAUUUGUGAAAUUUAUAGUACUAUUUCAUGGUUUAUCCUCUCAAAGUUAACAACAAAUAAUGCUUUAAACUCCGUUUAAACAACUUAUGAGUGUAAUUCAAAUUUAUUGCUCCAUUAUGUAUGUACAAUGUAUCAAAACAGAAGAGUAGCAAAUUGUGUUUUAUUGCACUUUCUGUUUAGCUAGCUUCAUGCAAAUUAACCUUCGUAGAUUAUAGGUAAAGAAUUGGUUUGCCAUUCAAUGUAUCCAAGAAAUAUGUGUUAGUACAUAAUGUUUAUUUCAAUGGAUGCACAGGUGUAAAACAAAAUUACAAAUUAUUAAGUUUUAAACUUUACAAGUACUUAAAGCACAAUAAUUUUUAUUAAAUUAAAAUUUUCCCUCCUGUGAUUUGGUAGUUUAUCAUAUAACCCCUCUAUAGUUUAAAAAUCUAACACAACGUCCUCAUAAUCUAGGUUAACAUAUCAUCAUUAAUUUUUCUAUUAAAACUAACAAUCAAUAGUUCAAAGUUUAAGUCAAAUUAAUAUAUUGAAAAAUUUACCCUUUCACUAAUCUAAUUCUUUGAGGUAGUUACAAAACUAUUACAAUUAUUAUACACCUUAAACUAUGUAUUUGUUUUCAAGUAAACACAAAAGAUGCAGCAGACCAUUUUUAGCCAAGUUAAUAAAAUUGCAAAUGUAACAAUAUAAAGCACCCUAUCAAAAGUUACUCUAUAUGAUUAAGAAAAUAAUUUAUAUUUAUUCGAAUGGAAAAAAGUUGCCAGAAGAGGGAGACACCAUAGGAAAAAUAGUUUAGAGUGAACUGCAUCAAUCAUGCCUUCCAUCGGGGGGAAAAAAUGAUAGAUGUGCGUGUAUAUAGAUACAUACACGCGCAUUUAUGUAUGUGCAUGUACACGGACGUGAGGUUGUUCCUUUGAAAAGUAGCUUCUCCUGCAAUAAUCCAAAUUCUAGGACAGUGGCAGAAAUGGAAAAGUAGUAUAGGCUGCACCGAAAUCUACUAAAAUACAAGCUUGAAAUUCAGAUAGAAAUCGAAAUACAUAAAAAGAUCAGAGCUUUUUUUUUUUUUUUUUUUUGAGGAGAUAAAACGUUCAAAGCUGAAAGCAGAACCAGUCUUUGAGUCGUAGUGUUAUUUAGAUUCAAGUGAAAGACGGGGCACACGACCAAUACAGCAGCCAAAUAGAGAUGGAAACUUGAGCUCUUGGACUCUAUGGCCGAAUGAUAGAGCCCUAGAUUGGAACCAGUGCAAAGCUUUCUGCCGCACUAACAUGGCAAAUAGGGGAGGUCCCGGAAGGCAAUGUGACCAUGGCUCCAGCGAGGGGUAUCCAUGUGACAAACAACUUCGAUCUUUUCACCAUCCUCUCCGCUUAGCAAAAUCCUAUACACGCCCGAUCGUGGCCUCUUGAGCAUGGUGUUAGGAAAUUAGUUUAAUUUCUUUUAGAUAGAUUUCUUGUUUUGUGUGGAAGUAACUAGUUUUUUAAUUGAUUUUGGUUACUUAAAAUAGUAGUCAAGAAAUUUCCUAUUUUAUUUAGGAUUAGAAAUUAUUUCCUAUUCUGGACAAGUCUAGGAAUUAGAAUUGGUUUCCUGUUGUUAUUUGGGUUUUUGAUCAGAUAAUAUUUUCCAUAAAUAUGUGGAUUAGCAUACUAUACAAGAGACACACAAGGGGCACACAAGAGGCGACAUGUAGCCCAAUACAUGGGUGGAGAGAGAGAGUUCUUGAAAGAUGAGAGAUGGUAUAUAAAGAUUAGAUUUUGGUUUAAGUUGUAUUCUUGUAUAGGAUUUUUUUCUCUCAUAAUAAAGAAUGAGUUUCUCUCCGUGGACGUAGGCUCAAUAGUGGAACCAAACCACAUUAAAUAAAUAUUGUGUCGUUUAUCUUUCAUACUUGUGACUUAUUUAUUAUUAAUUAUUGUAUACUUGAUAUCUUAAUAGUUAUUUGUUCUGCGCUUGAAUCCUAACAAAUAGUAAUAAAAGAUUUAAGGAUAAGCUAUGGUACGACAUGUCAUCUUUGGAGUUAAAAUCAUUUCAGGAACUUACAAGAUUGUGUUGUUUUGCAAUCUAUCUGGAGUUGAUCUCGUGGGCUGUUAUGUCAAAAAGACUCCAAUAUUGCUCUCCGACCCUUGAUUUUUCUGGCAAAUUCACCCAAUGACUCAUAGGAUGUGACACAAGUACUCGUCUCUCUCCGUUGAUUGGCAUCCUCUCACACUCUCAAAGUGUAUUUUCCAUCAUCUGGGCUUUUCGAGAUCCUUGAGGAAUCGAAAAGUGUUCAAGAAUGUAAGGGAGUUGCUCUAGCUGUAGCAACUGACAAAAUUAUCCUUGAUUGCUUAUUCUGUCUACAGGGCUGAAUGCACAUGCAUGUGGCAACAGUAUAGCGCCUGUUAAUGGAGUCUUGGUGCUAUAUAUGGCCCAUUCUUAAGCCAUGUUUUGUUUGAUUGGUUUCUAAAAGCCAGUGAUCAUACUGAGACCGGAUUGCCCCUGACGAAUUUGAAUUAUGGAGGCGAGUCCAUUAUUUGAUCAAGAACCACCCAGAUUUACUAGAUGGCAAGCCAAGAUUUCAAUCUCAUCGAGCUCUUUUGCAUUCAUUGUAUUGCAUGUACAAGACCAUUAGUUUCGUUAUGUUAACAAUAGUUAUAGAUGCACAUGCAUUAACAAAAAAAGUAAUUUUAGUUUAUGUACAUGACUCAGGAAAAAAUAUACCAAUAUAUAGUAAUUCUUGAUAUAUAUAUAUAUAUAUAUAUAUAUUGAUUGCUAGUUCUUGUACGUAACUCAGGGGAAAAAAUUUUAGUUCAUGUACAUAAAUCUUGACGUAUGUGUAUACCAAUUUUUUUGAAAGUUAACUCAACCAAGCACAACUGGACCUGCGCCAAUCCCUAAUCAAAAUUUGAUGCACAUGCCAUAAAUUAAAAUAUAAAAAACUUAACAUUGGAGAACUAAAUGCGGCAAAAGAAUAAAUAAUAUAAGACUAUUGUACAACAUCAACAUAUGACACAAGUCUAUUGUACAACAUCGUCAAAUUAAGAAAAAAACACACUCAGAAUACAUAGAUGUUCUGUACAGUCCCUAAAACUUUUUUUUUCUUUUUACUAAUUUGAUCCGGCCCACAGAACUCUCGUCUUUACCGUUACUAUUUCAACUUCUAAUUAUCUUUAGGGAAUUAAGAAGGCCUUACUGUAUAAUAGGUCUGAAGAAAAGUUAAUACACUGUUAAAAUAAGUGUAGAAGAGUUCAGCCAGCCAUGUCUUUGCCUUGUUGUUAUAGUGUGCUUGAAUUUUCUCCUUCACAUUAUGAAAAUGGUGACAUUGUGCACCCCGCAAGUGUUUAUGUCUUUAUAAACCUUCAACAAUUCGUCAUCACUGCCCAAAGUUGUGAGCAAUAUCCUUUUUUUCCCUUAGUUCUUUCACAUCCUUGGGUUGUCGAUCAGCGAUUUCAUGAACUCAAUAUAUGCUGUCACUGCUCGGUCAGUGCUGGUACUUGGGCACAUUUCAUAGGCAAUCAUAUUUAAAAAGAAAACUUUGGUGUCAAUCGAAACAAACCAAAUUGGAACUUCAAGUGUUGCAUAGAAAUAACCUGAUUUGAACUUGAUGCCCUUCGAAGAAUCAGCACUGCUGGUCCUAAAGUGAAUUCCCUUGGCCUUCAACUCCGUGGCUGAACGAAAGCAAUGAACGUAUUUUUUCGUGCUAGAAUCAUUGUCAAUAUUUGAUCUUCUCCACCGCAGAAAACAUGGCAAAUUAUGAAUAUACUCGUGAAGAUUGCUGCAUCUGCGAAAAUUUUUGAAGUGAUUGAGACAGACAGCGUCAUUGCUGGCCCUAGAUUUUGGAGAAAUUGGUUUGUCUUUACAGGAUUCAGAGACAAGAACUGGCCAGAAAGCGUCCAGAAGAUGAUGGGGUAGGUCCUUAUCUCUGCUAGCUAUUCCACUCCCCUUGUAAUUCCCGAACACAGUCCUGUUCAAGAACUCGUUGAGCACCUCUUCACCUUCUUGUUUCCCAUAUCUCAAACACAUCAGAAACUUAAGAAGCUAGAAAGGAAUUUGAUUUUCAAGUAAAACAUGUCACGAAGUACAAUCGCCGAUACCAAAUCACCAAGAAAUAGCGUGUGAUGUAAAAGUUUGCGGCACUUUUGCAUCUAGAAAUUAUGUCGUUGAUAAUGAAAUAGGCAUCAGGAAGCAUCAUUUGUCACUACAAGAAAAUUGAUUUUCAAUGACAAGCCAUUUCUGUCACAAAAAAAUGAAAAGUCGUCACUGAUAACUUUUAUUGACAACUUUCUAGUUGUCACAGAGUCGUCACUGAAGGCCCGUCGGUAAAAGUACAUAGUGACGACCUUAAAAGUCGUCAGUGAAUGGGACUGUUUUGCGACAACUGAUGUCGUCAAUAAUUGUUGUACUUUUUAGUGAUGACAUAGUAUCUUGUCAAUGAUAUACAAAGUAUUGUUGUCACUAAAACUAAUUCAUAGUUGUCAUUGGUAUAGACUAAUUACUGACAACAGGUUGUUAUCAAUGGAGAAUUCUAUGACAACAGGUUGUUAUCAAUGGAGAAUUCUAAUUCAGUGACAACACUUUAUCACCAUGAAAUUUGAAGAUUUUCCUACUACAAUUAUAUCUAAAAAUGAAAAAUAAUAUAUCUUACAUGCCAUUAAAAAACAAAUAAAAGUUGUAACUGCAUUAGAAGCUGCAUGCCAAUAUACCACAAAUUAUCUCCAAAUGUCAUAUAAGUUCUAGAUCGUAAAAUAAAUGUUUCAAUAAGGGGUCUAGGAGUCCCAAAUUUUACAUCAAAUUAAGGUCGUUUUACAAAAGACUACUGAAAUAAAGAAAUAGAAAACUCGUGAGUGAGCUGCAUGAACAAAAGACAUAUUCAACUCCAAUGUCGGUCAAUCAAACGCAUGGACUCUAGUGUUGGAAAUUUUAGUAAUAUUCAUUGAUCUUCCAAAAAGGUUGAAUGAACUGCCAUUUUCUACAUUAAGGAAGGAAAAUAAGUAGUGAAUACAAAGACGAGCAAAACAUCAAAGUAAAAGCAACUUUGGUUAGCUUAUCCACCCAAAAAUGCAGUUGAUUCACAUGAACAUAACAAAUUAAGUAUGCAGAGGCCCCGUCCUGGGCCGGGACACGUGGUAGCCCAGGUGCGGUCAAACUGGGCCUGAGCCCCAGGCCCUGGCAGCCGUCCGGGCUGCGUUGCUAGGGCUCCUGGAGGGGCUGAGAAUCCAUCCCGAAGAGGUCGGAGACAAUCCCCCAAGUGCGGGAUAAGGGCUAUUCUGGGCAGGUCCCGAAACGUACGGAGGUCGGACUUCCGCACAGGUAUAAAUGGUAGAACACAUCAACUGUACAAGGUACGCUCACUAUUGGCAAAUUGCUCCCGGCUGUUUAUACUUCCCGUGAAUUCUUCUCAUCGGAAAACUAACUUGGUCGUCGGAGCGCCCUCGAGGACCGACCUCGGGCCCCCCGUUGUUAGCUCAUUCUUAUCUGUUUUGCAGGCUUGGAGCCAGCUCUUCCAUCAGCAUCCGAGCUCAUCAGUUCAGCUCGGUCCGGGGAAGCUCAGCGCUUCUUCAGUUGGCGCCGUCUGUGGGAACCGGAAGAGGUAAGUGCAGUUGUGCUGAUGGCGAGGACGCGAUCCAAGCGAGCGGUAGAGAGCACCGGCCCUGGAGGCGGUGAGGGGUCCCAACGAAGAGAGGCUGAGGCAUCCCGGGGCGCCGGGGGCUCAGCCCUUUUAGGAGAAAGGAUGCAGCAGAUCCUCCAGUUCGUGACGGAGAACCUCCCCAUGCUGGAAGACAUCAUCCGGCAGGCGAAGGAGGGGGAGGAGGCUGGAGGCGCGCAGACCUCCAAGGCGAAGGGGAAGGAGAAGGAGCCGCUCCCCGAACCCUCGAAGGAUGAGUCGCACGACCAACCCCCCAGGAGGAAACGGCCACGGACGCCGCCUCGCCCGCGAGCCUCGAAGUCGGAGACAGCGAAAGGUACUCCCGCUACAGGUCCACUGGGGGCAGGCCGAGGGGCCCCUCGCCGAGGAGGCCUGCGAGGAAUGGUCUUGCCCGCUCCCCAGCCCGCUCUGCCAAGAGCCGACCGCGCAAUCCCCUUCACUUGAAGCCUGUCCAAGACGAGCUCGAGCAGAUCUUGCGGCCGCAGCUGUACGCGGACAACUACUCCACCUCGCCUUUCCCCGGGAGAUAGAGGAUUAUCCCCUGCCCCGGAGGUUCAAGAUCCCAAUCAUCGAGAUGUAUGAUGCUUCCACUGACCCGGAAGACCACCUCUCGGUUUUUCUGACGCACAUGCGUCUGCAAACCGCAGCGGAUGAGAUCCGUUGAAAGACCUUCCCUAUGUUCCUGAAGGGGAAAGCUCGGCUCUGGUUCCAGGGCUUGGCACCAGGAUCUAUUCGGAGUUUCCCCGAGCUGGCUAGACAGUUCGUCGCCCAGUUCGUCUCCUCGAAGACCUACGCGAAGAACGCCACCACCUGAUGUCUAUCAGGCAGAAGCCCGAUGAAUCGCUGAGGAACUUCAUGACCCGCUUCAACGCGGAGAGCUUGCAGGUCAGGGACAAAGAUGAAAAAGUGGUAAUGGCCGCCUUCACGAACGGGCUCAGGGUAGAGGAGCUCUUCUACGAGUUGGCCAAAAAGCCUCCCAUAAACCUGGAGGAGCUCCUAACCGGGCGCACGCGGCCGCCAACGCAGAGGAGGCAGGUCGCCUGAAGAAGGAGUCAGAUCGGAGCUCGGAGAUCGGAAGGGUCGGGCGAACCCCAAGAGGGCAAGGACAUCCCGGCCAAGAAGAAUGUGUUUGAUCGGCUCUCGAAGGAGAAGGCGCCUGCUCCGCCGCCACUCCCAGAGAAGAGCUACACCCCUCUGACACGGCCUAGAGCUCAGAUCUUGGCUGUUAUGGAGGCGGAAGGGCUGGGAGAUCGGCCGCCUAAGAUGGGGACACCUCGGAACAAGAGGAACCAGGACCGGUACUGUGCCUUUCACCGUGACGUGGGACAUGACACGGAGGGAUGCUGGGCCCUACGGAAGGAGAUCGAGGAUCUGAUCCAGCGUGGUUUUCUGGGACGGUUCGUACGCCAUGGCAGGUCGGGCCAGGAGUCCGGGCGCCAUUAUUAUGGAGACCGGCGUGAGGGACAGCGCCGCGACCGCCCUGAGCGGCGUGACGCUCCUCGGGGCCACUCUCCGACCAGGACAUCCAGAACUUGGCGGGGGUGAUCAACACCAUCGCCGGAGGCCCCACGGGGGGACAGCCAUACAUCUCGGAAGAGCAAGCGACCGCCCCCGAAGGGGACGACUCCUUGAAACGCUUGCGCAUGGACGAGGAGAUUACCUUCGGACCAAGGGAUGCGGUCCCCCUGAUUUCCGAGAACCACGAGGCCAUUGUGAUAGACAUCGUCACCAACAACUACCGGGUGAAGAAGGUGUAUGUCGACCAAGGUAGCGCGGUUGACAUUAUGUUCUAUUGGGUGUUCAAGGAGUUCGGACUGAAGGAUGACCAGCUGACCCCGGUUCGGACACCUCUGGUGGGCUUCACUGGACCACCCAUCAGCUCGGAGGGGAUGAUCACCCUGAUGGUCACGGUAGGACAGGCUCCCAAAUGCCGGACCGUUCCCGUUAACUUUGUGGUGGUCAAGCAGUCGUCCCCGUACAAUAUGUUCCUUGGGAGACCUUCUUUGAACGCCCUCCGAGCUAUUUCCUCCACUUUCCAUCUCAGCGUCAAGUUCCCCACCCCUGGAGGGAUAGCCGAGGUGCACGGCGAUCCAGAAGUAGCCAGAGCUUGCUACCUGGCCACGCUCCGCGGGCAGGAAAGAUGGUCGCCCAGACAACCUGUUUGGAGCCCUACAUCCCGGGGGAUGAGGCCCAUCGGCUGGGCACCCAGGAUGAGGUUGAGGAGUUCCCCUAAGGGAGGAUCGGCCCGACCAGGUUCUCCGCAUUGGAACCUUGUUGCCCGCCAAAGAGAAGGAGGGCUUGAAGGCCCUGUUAAGGGAAUACUCCCAAGUCUUCGCUUGAUCGGUGGAUGACAUGCCCGGGAUUCCGACAGAUCUGGCAGUCCACCAUCUCAAUGUGGAUCAUCACUUCAAACCAGUGAAGCAGAAGAAGAGGAGAUUCGCCCCCGAAAGGAAUGAGGUGAUCAGGGCGGAGGUCGGCAAAUUGCUGGAGUCCAAGAUCAUUAUGGAGGUCUACUACCCGACCUGGCUGGCCAAUCCGUCCUGGUGAAAAAGGAGGACCAGACCUGGAGGAUGUGCGUUGACUUCACGAACCUCAACAAGGUCUGCCCGAAGGACUGCUUCCCCCUGCCAAGGAUCGACAGGUUAGUGGACUCUACUGUGGAUUUUGAUGUCUUGUGUUUUCUCGAUACUUUUAAGGGGUACCACCAGAUCGAGAUGGCGGAGGAGGAUAGGGAGAAGACCUCCUUCAUCAUAGAGGAAGGAACUUAUUGCUACCGGACCAUGCCAUUCGGGCUGAAGAACGCUGGAGCUACCUACCAGCGCCUGGUAAACAAGCUAUUCCAAAAUCAGAUCGGGCGGAGUAUGGAGGUGUACGUGGAUGACAUGAUCGUUAAAAGCCGAACUGAUCAGCAGCUCGUCCCCAACCUGAGGGAAAUCCUGGAUAUCCUUCGAGAGAGCAGGAUGCGGUUGAACCCGAAGAAGUGCACCUUCGGGUCAGGUCCGGAAGGUUUUUGAGGUUCUUGGUGUCCCGAGAAGGGAUCCGGGCAAACCCGAACAAGCUCCAAGCUAUAAUGGACAUGGCCCCUCCGAGGAAUGUGAAGGAGGUUCAGCGGCUCACCGGGAGGAUGGCCGCAUUGAGCAGGUUCCUCUCGCGUUCCGCGGUUCGGGGCUACCCUUCUUCCGCGUCUUGAAAGCGCCGAAAGAUUUUCACUGGACUGAGGAAUGCCAGAAAGCUUUCGCCGACCUGAAGGCUUAUUUGGCUGAGCUGCCCACUCUGACCGUCCCAGAGCUGGGGGAGACCCUAUUCCUGUACCUGUCCGCCUGCAACGAGACCGUCAGUGCGGUCUUGGUACGGGAAGACGGGCUCAAAGACCGGUGUACUACGUCAACCGAGCUUUACAAGGGCCAGAGACGCGAUACACGCUGGCCGAGAAGUUGGUUCUUGCCUUGGUGCAUGCUGCUCGCAAUCUCCGCCCUUACUUCCAGACUCACAGCAUUGUAGUCCUGACUGACCAGCCCUUGCGUCAGAUACUCACCAAGUCCGAGGUCUCGGCAGAAUGACCAAGUGGGCCAUCGAGCUGGCUGAGCACGACCUUAGUUAUCAGUCUCGUACAGCGAUCAAGGCUCAAGCCUUGGCGGACUUCCUUGCCGAGGGGGCUAGCUUGACCCUGACCGACCUAAUCCCCACACCCACGGACACCCCGACGGAGGAGCCGUGGGUGCUGUUCGUGGACGGCGCCUCGAGCAAGGAGAGGAGCGGAGCUGGCCUGUUCCUCACCUCGUCCACCGGGGAAGAGCUGACCUACGCCCUUAGGUUCGACUUCCCGACAUCCAACAACGAAGCGGAAUAUGAGGCCCUGUUGACAGGGUUGCGGAUAGCCCACCAAAUGGGCAUCACCGCGAUCCGGAUUCGGAGCGACUCUCAGCUCGUCGUCCUCCGGAUCCGUGGGGAGUAUGAGGCCAAGGACGAUGUAAUGAAAAAGUACCUGGUUAAGGUACGGGAGGCAGUAGCCCUGUUCGGGACUUUUGAAAUCGAGCGGGUGCCAAGGUCCCAGAACAAGCGCGCGGAUGCCCUGUCAAAGCUGGCAUCCUCCUCGUUUGCCCACCUGAGCAAGGAGGUCUUGGUAGACGUGGUGAAGCAGAAAAGUAUCGACCAGGUCCAGGUCCUGGCGAUAGACGGCUCGGCCACCUGGAUGGCUCCCCUCAUUGACUUCCUCAGCUCGGGUGCCCUCCCUGAGAACAAAACCGAGACUCGCCGAAUCCAGUUCCGAGCUGCCAAAUACGCCUACGCCGGGGGAACCCUCUACAAGAGGUCGUACUUGUCCCCCUGGCUAAAGUGCGUGACUCCCGAGGAAGGUGACUACGUUCUGCGCGAAAUUCAUGAAGGUAUAUGUGCGGCACAUGUGGGGUCCCGGGUGUUGGCCAAAAAGUGCCUCAUCUUGGGCUACUACUGGCCCUCCGUCUUCCGAGAUGCCGCAAACUUGGUACAGAAAUGCCGAGCUUGCCAGGUGCACGCCUCGCUGCGCCAUCAGCCAACUCGGGAGAUGAUCCCCAUCCAUAGUCCUUGGCCCUUCGCUCAAUGGGGGAUAGAUCUCCUGGGUCCCUUCCCCCGAGCCCCGGGGAGGUAUGAGCACCUCGUGGUGGCCAUAGACUACUUCACAAAGUGGGUGGAAGCGGAGCCCCUGGUCUCUAUCUCCGGGAGGGCAAUUCAGAAGUUCUUCUGGAGGAACAUAGUUUGUCGCUUUGGGAUUCCGCACGUCCUGAUAUCUGACAACGGGCGCCAAUUCGCAGAGAACCCAUUCAAGAGCUGGUGCGCUGAGAUCGGGAUCGACCAGCACUUUACGUCAGUCGGCCAUCCCCAGGCCAACGGCCAGGUGCAGAAUGCCAACCGAACCAUCCUCCAAGGACUGAAAACCAGGCUGGAGCUGGCCCAAUCCAACUGGCUGGAAGAGCUCCCUAGUGUCCUCUGGGCUUACCGCACCACGCCCAGGACGGCCACCCACGAGACCCCGUUCUCCCUCACUUACGGGGUAGAAGCAGUGGUCCCCGCAGAGAUCGGCCUCCCCUCGCUCAGAACACAGAACUUCGUGGCGACAUCCAAUGACGAAGAGCUGCGGUGCAACUUAGACAUGCUCGAGGUUAAGCGUGAAGAAGCGGCAGUUCGAAUGGCUAGGUACAAAAGCCAGCUCGUCCGCUAUCAUAACGCCAAAGUGAGGACUAUACGGUACCAACCGGGUGACCUCGUUCUAAGGAAGAACUCGAUUAGCCGAGCUCACGGAUCCAACAAGCUCGACCCAAACUGGGAGGGCCCAUACCAGGUCCUUGAGGUGAGCCGAGCUGGCUACUGCAAGCUCGCUGACAUGAAUGGAUCUGAGGUACCCCGUACUUGGCACUUCUCCAAUCUACGACUGUUUGUAGCGUAGGGUAGACCAGGGUGUUCAAGUGUCUGUUCUCUGGAAUCUGAAUUUUUAUUUUUGUCAUUCAAUAAAAGUUCGACUUUAAAAUUUACAUUUCCCUUGUUUCUGUCUACUUUCAAAGUUUUUCAAGUUUGCACCUUGCACUAGCACACUUAGCGUUCCUCGCUAAGUGUCCUAGUGGGGGGCUAAGGGUAGUGAAGGGGAUCAAGGUGAAAAGAGAUCAAGGUGAAAUGUUUGGCCCAGGAGGUCGGCACAGAGGUGAAAAGUUCGGCCCAGGAGGUGCACGGCCUGAAAAAACUUAACUGGGAAGGGUUCUGAAAACUCCGUGCUCGGCCCAGGAGGUCGGCGGGAAGGAAUUCGAAACCUGAUACUCGACCCGAGAGGUCGGCAUGGGUUAAAGUCUCCAAAGCUUCCAAGUUAGUGCUCGACCCUGGAGGUCGGCACGAUCGGGAGCUUGGAUGGAAAGUGAUGCUCGACCCGAGAUGUCGGCAUGGGUUGAAGUCUCCAAACCUUCCUGUGCUCGAUCCAGGAGGUCGGCUCGAUCGAGAGCUCGGAUGACAGGUGAUGCUCGACCCCGAGAGGUCGGCACGACAGAGUUGGAGCAAGCAAGAAAUGCGAAAUAAGUCUUCUCGAGUUUUAUAUGCAUUCAAAACCUAUCUAUUACAAAGCUUACAAAAUCUCUGAGCGGCCUAUCUAUUACAAAGCUUCCGAGUUACCUAUCUGCUACAAAAUGUGCUGAGCCAUGAGGAGAAUACAGCUCGAACCCCCUUCUUCUUGCUGGUAGUUCGUCUGGAGCAGGAGCUGAAGGUACACCUUAAACAUGCUGAGAGGCGUAUGGUGAAGGCUUUCCAGACGGGGGAACUUUCCGUCUCAGAUGGACCUCCAAAAGCAUUUUCAACUGGAGCAUGGUCACAUCCUUAUAAGAAAACGGAAAGGGUUUCUGGGUGGCCGCCGCCCUAAACCACCGGAUCCUUCCCGGCAGCCUGCGGGAGACUUGCUCUCCUCCAAGGGGACCUCCGCCAGCUCGGCCCAACGUUGGUUCGGCCUACCAACUCCUUCAGGGCAUGCCCCUUGCGGUACCCAUCGAAGAGCCAGUCCAGCCUCUCCUCGGCCGCGGGAUUGUAGUCCUUGCAGUCCGCCAAGUUGAAGCCAGGAGGGUUGAGGCUCUUCACCUUGUCCAGGGCCCGCGUAGCGCCGACCUGGAGGAUGGGCAGGUUAAGGAGGGCGAUGUCCUCCUCAAACUGCUCAGAAGAAAGGAACUCCCGAACAGCCUUCUUCCGCUCCCGGCUGACGGUGCCGGAGAGCUCGAUGGCGUGCUCCUCCUUCAGCUUGGCCACGCCGGUCUUCUCCUGGUCGAUCUCCGACCUGGUGGAGGCGAGCUGGACCUGAGCGGUGUCCAGCUCCUUCUCGGCCUUGUCCAGUUUUGCCUUGAGGGAGCUUGCCUCCUUAAGGGCCUGGGAGAGUUUCUUCUCCGUCUCCAGAUUCUUCUUCCGCAAUUUCUCCAGGUCGGGAGACAGUUCGGAGAAGCGGGUCGCCAGGGCGGCACCAGCGGCGUUGGCCUGAAGGGGAAAGAGGACAGGUCAGCACGUCACACUACUUAACCGAGACACGGAGGCAAAACUAUCCCACGGGCUAGACUUACUUGAGUUUGGGCGGUGUAAUACGCGCCCAAGAGCUCGGAAGGGUCGGCCGGCUCCAUCCACCUCCUGUCGUGGGGGAGGACCGAGCCCACCAUCAGCUCGCGAGCCACCUAUGGAAACUGGGCUCGGUCGUUGAUGGAGAGCUCUCAGGACGGGCAGAAGUGGCGGGGGUCAUGCAUCGUGGGGGCUUGGCCCGGUUUCAAGGGAGCAACGUGGCGGAAGUGCCACAAGUUCGGAGGAGUUGACUCCUGGGCAUGCUCCUCGGCGGAGCCCACGCCCAGGUGGACUGGCCCCCCGAGGCCAGCGGGCGGAGGGGCCUGAGCUGGAACCAGCGUGAGUUUCUUCCCGGGCUGGGAGGGCUCGUCCCUUCUACCCCUCUUCUGCCGACCGCCUUCUUCUUGCUGGUGGCCUGCUUGGAGGGGGACGGCUGCGGCGCCUCUUUCUGGGGGCUGAGCCGCCCCCCGGGGUGGGAGCCCCCCUUGGGCCCCCUGGGUAGUCCCGGGCUGGGGGCGGAGGUGACCUCCUCAAUAGGUGCGCCCAGCAACUUGGAGAGGUUCCUCACUGCAACGAACACAACCAGAUAAGCAAAAGGCAGGGCAGUUUAGAAAACCACAAUAUACUAUAAACGCAACAGGGGCAAAGCCAGCGUUACAGGUGUCGAGUUUGGGCUCGGGGUUACCACUUCCCCAGAGGAUCCGGACAACGUCCCUAUCAGCCCGGCUGCGGAGAUCUGCUUAGUGGAGAACCUGGUGGCAUCGAGCUUCACCUUGGAGCCCAACAGCUGGCUGAGGGUAUCGUAGUCCAGGUCCUCCGGGUAGGAAUCGGCCUUGACCCCCCAACCUUCCACACAUUGGGGGAAAAUGUGUGGAUUUGACGAAGAAGAAAUCCUCCUUUCAAUCCUUCACGGAGGAGGGGAGUCCGUGGAACAACUCCUGGGCACCUUUCCCUCCCUUGGUUUGGGAACCCCGGCGGGAGAAGUAGUACCAUCCAGGGAGGGCGGUCUUAAGGAUGAAGGCGGCUCGGAAGAGGGAGAGAGAGUAAGGGAUAUCGCAGAAAAGGCAGUAGAUCAGGAAUCCAGUGAUGAUCCUGAUAGAGGUGGGGUGAAGUUGGGUGAUUAUGAGUCUCCAGUAGUUCAAAAUCUCGGUAAGAGCUGAAGGAAUGGGGAGACGGAGCCCUGCGAAGAGCUGCUCCCUAUAGAUGGCUACGAAACCGGGGGGAGGUCUGCAGGCUCGGUCGUCGGGCCCGGCCGCCCUUGGCUCGUAUGCCGGAGGAAUGGAGUAAGACUUGGCCAGCUCGGCCACGGCCUUGGGGGAUAGGGUAGCCUCUUGCAGGUCUGCAUACCCAUAGGAGAACUCGGGAUCAUCCCCUGCUCAGAAGCAGGGGUCCCCUCAGAGGGAUCCCUAUCCUCCCCAGCUCCACCCUGGGCUCCGCCGGGGGAGUCAUGUGGAGACCUGGGGGGAGAGGCGGAGGUAGCCUGCCGUUCGAUGAGGGCAUCAAGCUCGGCUGCCUCCUCAACGGCUCGGGCUGAAGGAGAGUGGGUAGAAGGAGAACUCAUAAUGACUAUGGGGUCAAGCAGGUCAGGGUUAGAAGCGGAGGAAGAGGAAGGAGGAGGAGGGGAAGGCGACGGCGAGGAUGAGGACGAAGAUGAGGAAGAAAUGAAGAUUCUAGUGGCUCUGCGACGGGCCGGAGACGGGGUUGCGGUGGAAGUAACGUCGGAGUGACCCGACAUAAAAGUCAGGAGAUGGCAGAAGGAAGAAGGAACACUGAAGGAAAGGAAAAGGAAAAAGGAAUCACAAAGGGACUUACUGAUGACGGUCAAGGCAGAGAGAGGAUGGAGGACUCGCCGGAGUCUGGGCGCGGGACACCGGAGGUUGCUGAAAAAUGGAAAUACGAAUGCGCAAGGAGAGUGGUAAUGCAAAAUGCGCAAGGGGAGGAGAAAAUGGCAAAUGGAGUCGGUUGAAAUCCGAUUACCCCUAUUUAUAAGGGGAGAAAUGGGGGGAAGACGGUUGCGUGGAUUUGAACCGACUCCCAUGUGAACGCCUUUAAUGCGGGUACGAAAACCGAAGAGGCGUGACAACUGAAAGGACGCGGGCGCAGCGUCCCUAUGACAGCACUGUACCAGAGGUGACCUUGGCAGGGUAGUGCGCGGCCUUGGCCUCCCACGUGGAAGAGGUAGAUUAGGUCUGCCUGACAGCCUUACCUAAUCUAGGGGGCUAGUGCAGAGGCCCCGUCCUGGGCCGGGACACGUGGUAGCCCAGGUGCUGUCGAACUGGGCCUGAGCCCCAGGCCCUGGCAGCCGUCCAGGGCUGCAUUGCUAGGGCUCCUGGAGGGGCUGAGAAUCCAUCCCGAAGAGGUCAGAGACAAUCCCCCCAAGUGCGGGAUAGGGGCUAUUCUGGGCAGGUCCCGAAACGUACGGAGGUCGGACUUCCGCACAGGUAUAAAUGGUAGAACACAUCAACUGUACAAGGUACGCUCACUAUUGGCAAAUUGCUCCCGGCUGUUUGUACUUCCCGUGAAUUCUUCUCACCGGAAAACUAACUUGGUCGUCGGAGCGCCCUCGGGGACCAACCUUGGGCCCCCCGUUGUUAGCUCAUUCUUAUCUGUUUUGCAGGCUUGGAGCCAGCUCUUCCAUCAGCAUCCCGAGCUCAUCAGUUCAGCUCGGUCCGGGGAAGCUCAGCGCUUCUUCAAAGUACAUAAUAAAUCAUUGUUAAUCAAUUGGCCGUGUACAUAACUUCAAUUCAAGUAAAGUUCAUUGCAAAAGGCAAUUGAAACAAUAUAGUUUUGGCAAAAGCCAUCUUUUACUAUCUCCCUAUAAGAGGCUUCCAGGCAAGUUGCUUGCAACAUAGUACAAGUGAUUAGCCGCAUAUUAAGUAGAUAUAAGCAAUGAGAGAAACCGUCAAUUUUCCCAUCCACUUUCCCACAAAUAAGCACAUAAAUAUUUGUCUUAUAUCUGACUGCUGUUUCUAAGUGAAGAGUACACAAUUAGCAAUCAAGGUUUACAAUAGGUAAUCAAUACUCUUGACCAAUAUUAGUCUAGCAUCACUUACAGCAAAAGGUUAGUGUAUACGGGCCACAUAGAACAGUACAUUUUCAUCUAGAACAACACAUUUUCAGAAUUGAUUUGGAAGAGCAAAUUAUAAUUGGCCACGACAAAAAACCAAAGGAAGAAAAGAAUCAAAAUUAAAGAAGAAAGACAUUUUCAUGUAUGAAAACAGAGCCAAUAGAUGACAUCAGCUUUCAUCUAUUUAUCUACAGAAUUUGAUCAACAUAGUAAACCACCAGGAUGCUUUACAUCGAAGUAGACAGUGUUGGAAAAUUUUCACAUCAAGUUUAACAAAGGAAAUUUGAAUCAAGAACAAUCUGGACAUAUAGUCUGGUCAUAUGUUUAUGGACAUCCAUCACAUUUCAAGGCCUUCAUUCAUCAGACAUAUCCCAAAUGGUAUUUUUCUUACUGAGUUUUGAGCUGAUGUGUCAUCAACCAUUGCAGUCUUCUUCCUACUAAAAUGAGUCAUGUCAUUUAGCUCGAUCGGUCCAAUUAACCUUCCCUCUUUUGCUUCCAAUAGCACAGCAAUAGUUAAUGAACCAAACUUGCAAUAUAAAAGACCAGCUAGUAUAUUUAAUUUCCCGUUCAGCUUUAUGCCGUAGAAAAGAUUUUGUUCCAGCUGUUUGAGCAGUUUUUUGUUUUGAUCUAUUUAUCUUAUUUUGCUCACUUAUCACCUACACUUGUGAUUUCAAACCUUCAUCAAAAUAACAAAGACAUAUCGAGAUUGAAGUAUGUUAAAUGAUCGAAUAUGUGCCAGUACCUUAAAUUUUGGACUACAAAAGUAGUCGCACAAGUACAGCCAAUCAGAUUCUUCAACAUAUUCAGGACAAUUAGGAUAUGGAAGCUUACAAAUAGGAUCCUUAUCUUAAAAAGCAAACCUAAUAAAUUCAUUGACUCCAUCUAAAUAUUUAGGAUCUAGGUAAUUCUUAAUUGACAUCCAGCUCCUAUCCAUAUUUAUGCAGCCCUUUAUCCUAACAUCAAGAAUAAGAACAUAUAAUAUUUUAUUGAAGACAGAGCACUAUGUAUGGAAACUUAAAUUUGCCAAAUACCAACAAUGAAAACCCAAUCAAAUAAAACAAAUUUUCACUAAAGUCCAUGUCAGGUACAAAUAACAACAAUUCAUUAAAAACAAGAUAGAUUAUGUACCAUUACAAAAGAUGCAAAAGAAAGCUCCAAUUAAUUUAAGCCAUUCCUAAAAUUAUACAUCUCAAACUAUACAACAUCAACUCCUAAGUCUGAAAAAAAUAACCGAAGCAGAUUUCUAGUCAUGAACACCUCUCCAUAUGACACAUACCCAGCCUACUCAAUCAUAUUUAAUUUGAGGAGGAAAAAAACUGGGUCAAAUCAAGCACAUAACAUCCCAUCUGUUCCUGUUCUGCGUACCCAUACAAAAGCCCCAAUUAGCUUGUUAGAUAAACUAAACCUACCCCAAAAACUAGUGGCAAAACACAUCUAAUUUAAUGUGUUCUAAGUCUGUUGGAUAGGUUUGUCUAAUGAGGGAAAGAAGCAGAAAGUGUGAUCAACAUUUUACACUACCAACGACAACAACCAGAAAUUUCGAACCGCUAGUGAAUUUUUGUUCAAUUCUCCCCCUACCAAGUCCAGCCGUAGCUGGGUUUUGUACAAAAAAUAGUUGGCAAAUAGCAAGUCCUUCCCAAGUGGGCCAAGAAGUAGAGGAUACAAUUAAUUUAGGGGAUUCAUGAUAACUAGGCAAAAAUUUUUCCCUAAGUUAAAAUUUAGGGCAAUAAAAUUUCAGGGGAUGAAAAGAUUAAUCAUGUAAAUAACCAUAAAAUUACACCCUCAAUGCAGAUUCAACAAGAAUGUGAGUAGAAAUUUUCAGAAAAUAAAAAAAAACAAGUGUAGGGCCAAAAUAUUUGCAAAUUAUCUUCGAGACAAGGAAGAGAGGGAACACGCUGAAAACUCACAGAGAUCUAAUCGGCAUCAACCAAACCGAAUACCUGAAUGGCACUAGAGUGGGUGGUGCUAGGCUACGUUGCUGGAGCUGAAGCAAUCAUGCUUCAGCACAAUGGCAUCAAAAAGGCAGUUAUUAAUCUACGAAACAAUUAUUAAAUUGUAAAAAUUGAAAGGCACAAGAAAGACAUAAUCUGAAAUAAUCAAAACUAUUGGAAAAAUAUUGGAGUCCAAAUCGAAGAGAUCGACAGCUAGAAUCAUGUGAUCAAGAGGAGCCACUACCACUUAAGAGCACUGAAUUCUUUAUCAAUCUAAGAAUCAAAAUCCAAUCUAAGAAACAAUGGUGUAAUAUAAUAUGAAAUUACUAAACACCUGAAAUCGAGCAGAAAUACAAUUUGUCAGGCCUAGAAUCCAUAUAUAUCAGGGGCCUCUCCAGAACUAAACAAGUAAAUCCAAUCUAAGAAACAAUUAUUAAAUUUCAAAGAUUGAACUGUACAAUAAAGACAUAAUCUAAAAGAAUCAAAAUCCAAUCUAAGAAACAAUGGUGUAAUAAAAUAUGAAAUUACAAAACACACGAAAUCGAGUAGAAAUACAACUUGUUAGGCCUCGAAUCCAGAUCAGGGGCUCUCCAGAGCUAAACAUGUAAAUCCAAUCUAAGAAACAAUUAUUAAAUUGCCAAGACUGAAAUGCACAAGAAAGACAUAAUCUGAAAGAAUAAAAAAAUUAUAUUUGAAUAAGAUUGGAAUCCGAAUCAAAGAGAUCGAUAACCAGAAUUGUGUGAUGAUGAGGUGCGGCCACAACACAAGAAAAACUCUAUUGUUCAUCAAUUAGGAAACACUCAAUUCUUUUAUUCACUCAUUAACCACCACACGAUUAUAUUUUCUAUAAAACUUUCCAAAAAUUACAAUCUAAACCGGCUCAUAGUCUCACAAAAUAUGUAGUUCAAAACUCAAUUUUCUUUAUUCAAACCCAAUUUCUGAGCAGGUCUAGUCAAUGUCUGUUCAACUCAAUUGAUUAACUCGGACGGAUUGCCCACCGGAUCCUCGGUUCAAUGUUUGGAAUCUGUUGGUCCCGUAUGGUUUAAAAACGGUGUUAUAUGUUGAUAGAUAAUUGGGAGACAAGGUGGAUAAGGAAAACUCUCGUGAAACCAAUGCGUUCUGAUUUUCAACUACAUAUCUUUAUGGGAUAAGACUCAGAGAGCUGGUUUUUUUUUUUUUUUUUUUUUUUGUCGAUACGAUAGCUUUUUACACUAUUGGGGAGGGGGAGGAUCUGAAAAGGUCCAAGGAUAAUUUGAAGAGGAUUGAAUCACCACCAGACCAAACGAAUGCACUAUAUACCUACCUGGAUUUUUUUUUAAAAUAAUGCCACAUUUAAUUGAGGCACCCCAUCAAGUUUUAAUACUUUGAUGGUGGUCACCAAUGCAAAGGCUGGUGGUUGACUCAGAGAGCUGGCGUCUGCACAUUUCUGGACCAAUCUUUCAUGGGAACAGUAAGGACGGUCCCAGAUGUAGAAUAAAGGGGUAAUUUCAGAAACCUCUGCUAAGGUUUCUGAUAGUCUCGCUAUCCUUCCCUAAGAUUUUCAAAAUAUCAAAAACCUCCCCUAAAACUAAUUAGCUAGUAACAAAUCAGCCCAAUUCAAAUACAAAAACAAUCUAAAAUUAGUGUUAGGAGAGAGAAAACAAUUUAAUUCCAUAACUACCCUCAAGUUUUGCAUUAGAGAGUUAAUUUACUAAGAACAAUAUACAUUUCUUUUAACUUUAUCAAUUGCUGAUCCAUGAAUUUUAAUGUUGAGAUUUUGCUUAAUAGUCGAACCAUUUGCUUAUGGAUGCUGGUUGAAUAUUUUAUAUUCUUAGAUUAGUUAGUCAUAAAUUGAAAAAGUUCUUGAUCUUGAAAGCUUACUGGAGAGAUAUUUCUUGAAAAUUGCCACUAAUACUUAACAUAUGUUUUUAUUUGUAUCUUGGCAAUAGAUGAUUCGAAUAGUAGCCAUUGUUUGAAUUUGAUUGCUUGAUUUGUGUUCUCAUGCUUGAGAACAAGCAUUGUUUAGGUGUAGAGGAAAUUGAUAGGUCAUAAUUUGUUACUAAAUUUAUAAUUAUUUUUCCCUUGAUUUUACCAAAUAUUAUUUUAAUUGAUAGAUUCUACUUAUAUUUGGUUAACGGUGCCAAUUGUAGGAAAAUGAGCAAAAUAUGAUAAAAGGGGUAAUUUUCCAAGAAUUACUGUCAAGUCUAGAGAAGUUCGGGAUUCAAAGUCGGAAAGUCGGGAUUGAUAUUGGGCAGUUUCCCAAUCCAAGUCAAAUUCCAAAACUUGACAGCUACUGAAGUUUCCUAUUUCUUUGCAUUCCACGUCAAUCUCGAGCAAUUGGGAGAGUUUUUAGGAAAUUGAAUUGUAAUAGGAAACUCUUUAGGAAUUUGAUUGGUAUUAGGAAACCAAUCAAUUAAGCAAUUCGCCAGGGAGAAUUCAGCAUAUAGCUCUUGCUUAGGAACAAAGCAUAGUUAUUCUUGUUUUCUUGACCGAUUGACAAGAAGACAAUUGGAAAGCUUCUAACAGAUUUUUGCAUGGCUUGUUCUCCAUUAAUGGAGAACUAAUUUUAUAUUUCUAGUCAAGGGGACAACUAAAGAUUUGGUUCAACAAUAACUGUGAGAUCUAAAUUAUUUUAAUUGCUUCUUUCAUUCAUUGAUAUUUAUAUGUUUCUUGCUUUUAGUGGCUAUGACUAUUGUGUAUGGUUGAAUAGUUGUGCAAUAUUUAAUUAUUCACGUAGUCUAUUUGCUAAUUGGGAGUAGUUGAAUCCGUAAUUGUUUAAUUACUCCAUCCCGAUAGCAACUAGCAUGAUUGGUUUCAUGUUAGGGAAACGUAUGAUAUAACUUAAACGAACUCUCGUAACGUGUUUGUUGGUUAGAGUUGGGCUUUUCCGAUUCUUAUUGCAAUCGAGAAAUUAAAUCAUAUAGUCGUACUUAGGGUUAUUUCUUGGUUAGGAAAAUAGUUAAUGGUUAUACCUUGACUAUCGAAAAAGUAAGGAAAGGCUGGUUGUUAUCGCAUGCAUGAUAACUAUAACCAAUCUAUUAAUGAGUAAUUGAAUUAUCUUUGUAUCGAUGAUCAGUUGAAUGAAUCGUGUCUGAAAAGUUAUACCUUUGAUUAGAGUCGUAUUGGUUAUUGAUUAAUUCAUGUUUAUUUCUAUUAGUUGUUUCAUUAGUUAGUUAAUUAGUUAUAUUAUAUCCUCCAAAACCCCCCAUACUUCGGACCCUGGAAGAAACGAAUUAUCCCCAAUCCCUGUAGGUUCGACCCUACUUGCCCAAUAUACAAAUUAGAGAUUUUUCGUGAAUAAAUUCUGGUAUAUCGAAUUUAGCAAAUUCUUUGGAACCAGGGUGAAUCUAGUAACCAUUGCAUAUCUAGAGUCCCUGCUCCAGUACCAGAAUUGACACGAAGUUGCUUCUGUUGGCGAGUAGGAUUAUUAAUAUUAUUAUUGCACAGGCUCGAUACCUGUCAAUACUCACCUAACAAACCUCCACCCGGGGAAAUUUUUUCAAAAAAAAAUCUACAUUAGGGUAUACAUUAGCAGAAAAUGAAAAAAAAAAAAACUUUAGACUGCAAUCUAGUAACAUGUGUCCCAGGUGCACAAAGAAAUUGAAACAUAUAGAGCUUUGAUUGUCAAAAGUAGCACUAGUACUCCUCGGAGUUUAAUUCAAAUACAGAUGAUCAAAUGUGAGUGACGCCUUGCGCAUAGCGGCAAUAGAAAACUAUGAAAGGAUAUGCCACGGUGUGUCAGCCAACCGUCUUUAGAGUUGAAAUUCUUGCAGGAGCUUCUGUGAUUGUAUGGUUUUGUAAUCUAGCAGCAUCAGAUUUUGUGAGGCGAUGCGUUGAUGAAACUUGGGUAUUGGUAUUCAAUCCCAAGAUCUUUCAUGUAAAAUGACUCGGAUGCGGCAAAAGCCUUGGAUUCUCUGCUCCGGUCAACUUGAAAUUGGACUUAGUCCCAGCACUUUAGGAAGUUGGUUAUUAGCACAUUAAAAUUUUUAUACUAAUUGUAGUAAGUAAUAUUUGGAGGGACCAUAAGUUCAAGUUGAAAAGAGGCAUGGUGAAAAUCUUUCCAAAUACAUACCCUACUACUUAUACAAAUAAAAGAGAGAACAAAAAUAUAUAAGCCAUUAAUACAUACUAAAAGUUUUUACAGCAAUUACAUGGUGAAUUCAUUAAAUUAGGCAUUUGGUUGACUUUGACAUGUGUGUCAAGUCAAAACAUUGUCAAAAAUUGCAACUUAUUGUAUACUGAUUUACUCAGCAAAAAUAAAUUUAGUUAUUUAUUGAAAGGAAAAAACUUUUAAAAUUUUGUUUUUCUUAAUAGAUACAUCGAAUGCCAUUGUUAAUCUCCACGUACUUUGAGGCACCAUUAUUGCCAACCUUGCGUCUAAGCAUUUAUCCAUACAAAAAUAGGUGAUUUUAAAAGCUAAAGACAUUUUUCAACCUUUAAAUGUAUUUUAAUAUGCAUAAACAACACGCUUAACCGCUUAAGUAUUACGGUAUUCUCUUGUGUUAUCCUGAAAUUUUAGAUUUGUACAUGUAUUUAUAAUUUUCAAAGUCACAUUGUCUAUGAUGCUACCACGAUUCUCUUCCCUAUUUAAUUUACUAUCCUUUUGCAACAAGAUUGAUACUUGAGACCCUAGUUAAGAAGUACAUGGGGCAUUUCAUCAGGCAAACUCCUUAUCAACUACUUACUCACUCUGACAUAGUUUUAUCUUCAAAAAAGAAAUUUUGGUUGAAUACUAAUACAGAAGAUUAGUGCCAAUUAACAAAUAUUAACUUAUGAAUGGUAAAUAAAUAAGAAGAGUUGUCACUCUACUUUGCACUCCAAAAUUUGUAUCACUUUUCCGCUUUGUAUGCUAAAUUUUAAUUUUGAAUACUUUACAUCCUAAAUUCUUAAUUUUGGACACUCGUAGCUUAAUCUCUCAAGUUUAUUCCAUUUAAAUACAAUCAAUGAUAACUUUAGUAAAAUUAACGGUAUCAACAGCUCAAUAAAUCAAUGACAAUAUACUGAAAGUGGUCAAAAGAUGCUAAAAUAUAGUAGCAAAAGUAAAAUAAUACACUAUUAUUAAUUUGCAUCAACUUUUAUCUUGUCAAUUUUACUAACAAUAUUAGUAAUUAUACCAUAUAAAUCAAUAACAAUCUAUCGAAAGUUGUCAUAUUAAACAAUUCUCAACUCAUAUAUCCUUUUUUAUUUUGUUUUUCUUUCCCUUUGUAGAACUGGAAGCCAUUGGGAAUUUUGAAAAUGACGCAAUUAAAAGCAUUCCCUUGUGUCCAAUGAUGGAGCCAAGGGGGACAGAGGGGGGCCCAUGGCCCCCCUAAGUUUUGAAAAUUUUAAUUCAUAAUAUGUAAAUAUAUGUGUAAAAUAAAAUUGACCCCUCCUAAAUUUUUUCAAUUUUAGUUUAUAUUAUGAGAGUUGAGAUAUAUAUAUAUAUAUAUAUAUAUAUAUAUAUAUAUAUAUAUAUGAAUUAGUCAUCUUUGAAUUAAUUUUUUUCUUCAGAAAAAGUUAUUUAAUUUUUAUUGUACUAAUUAUUUAACUUUCAAAAAUUAAACAUAUAAUUUGAUGUUCCAUAGUAAAUUGACCCAAUGUAAUGUAUUAGAAUAAAAAGACCCAAUUCAUAAUUUUUAAUGGCCUAAAAAGACCCAAUUCAUAAUUGUUAAAAGCAAGAACUAGUACGUCUAAGAAUAGAACUUCAAUAUUUUGAGUUCGACAUUCCAAAUCAUCAUGAAUUGCAAGAAUUAUCUAGUAUUCAUGAGUUAUGUCAAGACUUGGUGAAGACAAGAAAAUCAGUGAUAUAUCUUCUUAUUGACAGAUUUAUUAGAUUUGUUAUUACUCUUCCUAUAUCAACUACAACUACAGAGCGGACAUUUUCAAUUAUGAAAAUAAUCAAGACAAAGCUCCGAAACAUGAUGCAAGAUAAUUUCUUGAAUGAUUGUCUAACAGGAAGUUGCUGAAAAAUUUAGCAAUGAUUCAAUCAUAGAUGAAUUUAGUUCUAUGAAAGAGCAUAGAGCUCAAUUUACUUCUAAAAAAAGAUAUUGAAAUUUCAAAUUAUGUUAACAUAACUUUUAUCUUUUUUCAAUUGAAAAUAGUUACAUUUAUAUUACAUGGUUAUAUAUAUAUAUAUAUAUAUAUAUUAUAUAUAUAUAUAUAUAUAUAUAUAUAUAUAUAUAUAUAUAUAUAUUGCAUAGAUGACAUAUUGGAGAGCAUCUUCUCAUAAUGUGCAAAUUGGAUGGUUUGUGAUGUUAUAAGAUAUUUAAUCAAAAGUUAUCUUUUUUGUUAUGACUAUACCGCAUAUUUAUGAAUAGACAUACCUUUAUAAUUAAAUUUAAUAUUUGAUAUUUUUAGAUGUCAAAUAUUUGAAUAGAAGAAAAUUAUUUUGAACAUAAUAUAUUAAAAUAAUUUUAUUAGGAAAAAAUUUUGGCCCUCAAAAAAAAAAAAUCCUGGCUCUGUCACUGCUUGUGUCCCGGCAUACAUCUAACAGUAGCUAAAUCAGAACGGCCCGUAGAAAAAGCUGUCCAAGACAUAUUCUCACCGUGGCUAGCUAUUUCAGAACUCGAAGAAGAAGGUGCCGAAAAAUAUGUCACAAUUGUAAAUCAAAACACGAAGAAAAAGGUGUCCAAGACGUUCCAAAAGGCUGCCUCUCCUAAUCUUCUGGUGGGUAUAAUGCUGACCGUGGUUGCCAGUUUGUCUUCAAAAUGGUACAUUUUUGGUACUCUAGACAAUAAAUAAAUAAAUAAAUAAAAACUUUACCUGCAUUUGGUAUUAAGUAAUUUUUCACUUUAAUUUUCCUUAAUUGUUGUUAGCUGUCAUACAUUGGUAAUUCAAUUUUAAAGUCAAAAAAUUUAAUUGAUUUGCAAUGAUAAUAUGGAACCAAAUUGGACAAAACUCCAAAUAUAAGGGACAACGAUAGUUUUCUUGAUGUGCACAUGCAAUUCAUGUGAUCAGUCAUCGGUUAGCUCUCACGAAUUACCGUUUUUAAGUUAACAUUUAUCAUUUUUCAUGAAGAUAAGGAGAAAAUUAGUUGAUUGUAUAGAUUAGGUUCUACAUUGGUGAUGAUAAACUUUGCCACUGGAUAAUGCCUAAUUGGCCGUAACAAAUGAAGUUUCGGUACUUGAGGUGACGCACUAGUGAAACCAUGCAUUCCAGGGAUAAGAAUUAAACUUGGAAAUCUGAAAGAUAACUAAAGAAUAAAUAUUAGAAUCAAUAAUAUAAAAAAAAAAGUUUCCAAAUCAAAUCAAAAUUAUUGAAAAUUGACCAAAGCUCAAAUCCAAAUCAAAUAAAUCCUUACACGUUAAACCCACGAGAAACCUGUUAUCAAGAGGUGCAAUUACCACUUGAUAAAACUCCAAUGUAGCUAUCACCUCGUGGAUCACACAUAUAUUGGGUCCUCUUAAUUAUUUUCAGUUGGUACGAAAUCAUUCAGAUAUGAUUUCCGUGACAAAUUCUGAGUGUAACGCAAUAUUCACCUCAACCAGUUGAGACAUUGUCUGAUAACCAUGAAAUUUGACUCUCCAAUUCUUGGGUUUUGCCUCUCUCUUUAUAAGGUGUAGAAUGUGGGUUUUCUUUCGAAUGAACCUGGUUCUAAAGAAUGCUAACUGGCUGACAAUUGCGGAAGUUUUUGUGCAUAUCUCUACCAUGAAGCCAAUCAAAAUGUGAAUGGACUAGACAUAAAGGGCAGUAGUUUAAAAUUUGUAGUGAAAUUAACUUAAUUACCUCAAUGGGAUUGAACUAAAAAAUGCAAUCUUCUAUUCAGACAAAAUUCAUAAGUUCUAAGUUCAUUAAGAAAGAUCAAUGCCUGUCAUAUUAAUGCAAAAUUAUUGAUAACAACAAGAAGGAUACUUUUAGAGGUGAUAUAGUCUAGAGUCCAUGCAUCUAACCCACUCUCUUGACAUAGAUUGGAGUUCAGUGAGCGUUAAACUCAAGUCCAUUGGCCAAAAAAAAAAAAAAAAAAAAAAGACUCAAGUCUAUUCAAAAAACCAAACAUUGGACUCCAAACCAGUGAUGUCGAAUUGAUUAUCCAUGGACGCUAAAACCGCCAGAAACAAGUCAUCAAGAGGUGAAACUACCACAUACGACAAUACCCAAUUAUUUAGCAAAUCAAGGAUAAGGAUUAGGACUGUCAAUGGGGCUGAGCCAGCCCGAGCUCGGCUCGUUCGGCCCGACAGAAAGCCCGAUGAGCCCUAUCAUUUAGUGAGUCGGUCUGAGUUUGAGCCUAAAAAUUAGGCCCGAAUUAAAUGUGAGCCGAGUUUGGGCCUUAUUAGGCUCAAACCCGAUAUAGGCCCGACCCUUUAAUUACCUAUAUAUAUAAUAUUUAUAUUUUGAUAUUAUGUAUAAUUAUAUAUCCAAAUAUAUUUUUACUAAAUACUAAAUAUAUAUAUAAAUUACAAAACACAAAAAUACAUCUAAAGACUCUUUCGUGAGCUUUCUUGAGAGCCAAUAUUAGUAAUGCAUAACUAAAUCUCUAAUUUUUCUUAUUGGUUGAGUAAAUUUUUGUAUUGGCAUAUUAUUGGUUGAUUUUUUUUUGGUCUACAAACACAAAAAUCAUCAAGCAUGUUCGGAUUUAAAUCACAAGAUUAUAAAAAAAAAGUUUCAACUUUUAAAGAUGCAUUGGCUUAUGAUCGCAUGUUUUAUUACUAUUUUUCAUGCAUUUUAAACGGAUUAAAUAUAAAUAUUGUUGAAAAAUUUUUUGGUUUAUAUACUUUUUAAGAACUAUUAUUUGUUCAUGUUUAGUUUUAAUAUUAUAGUCUUGUAUAUGUUAAAUUAGUUUUACAACUUAAUAGUUAUAGUAAUUAUAUUAAGAAAAUUAAGGAGUAAUAAGUGAGCAUGGGCUAAACCCGAUUAAGGCUCACAACCCAAAUAUUAUAUGAGCUAAGUAUGAGUUUCACAUUUACGAACCCGAAACUCAUAACCCGAAUCCCAAAAAUGUUUCAAAUUAAAUGAGUUGAACUUGAACUCAUCAAAGCCCGGCUCAUUAGGCCCGAUUGACAGGCCUAAUAAGGAUCAGACAAGUAUCAGGGUAUUAAUAGUCCUCUAUAUUAUUUAUUUGCAGCUGGUACGAAGUCAAUUAAUCAGAGAUACCCACCAAAUGACACAACUUAAGACUUGAAGGAAAAAUAUGAUUGCUGAAGAAUCGUUAUCAGAAUCAAAUCAUUGCACCUUAAAUACAACGUUUUUGGAUUCGUUAGGUUUGCAUCGAGGUGGAGAAGAUCUCAAUUACAUACAAGCAAUUAACAGCAGAAGAAACAUAGCUUUAAUAUCUGAUUCUAGUAAUGGUUUCUGGCAAAGAAUACGUUGUCCUUCACGAGUAAUGUUUCUAGAAACAAUCUUUAUAUAUUUUGUGUUUAAAAUAACUUGAAGAAUACGGCAAAAGUAAGCUUUGGUUUGUGGACUGAUGAGUAAACACUAUGAAAUGAUGAGUAAACAUCAACACUAUAUGUCUGGAAAGAGAGGAAUUACAUUAUUUUUAGCAACAAGGUUACUAAAAUUGGGGGUUAUUAUAACUUUAUCCCUUUAAACUAUAGUGCUAAUAUCAAUUUACCUUUUUAACAUUAUUUUGCAGGCAUUUGACCUCGCAGUUAUUCUCCUUUUUCAUUCUAAAAGGACCAAGAAAAAUGUAAAAGGGUUCCCUUUUUUUUUCAUUCUCAACUAUUAAGAAAAAAAAAAAGAAAUUGAAUAGAGGUUGACAGAAAACUCAAUUUCAGAAAAAAGGAAAAUAAAGAAGAAUCCAAUAUUAUAAUUAAUUUAAAAUAAGUUAGAGUGGGCAGUAGGGGUGAAGAGUAAGUAGUAAUUUUAAAAUAAUAAGCACAUUGGAUUCUUUAUUAUUUUUAUUUUCUUUUUUAAAAUUGAGUUAUCUCUCUAUUUUCAUAUUUUAAGUAUUGAUAAGUACACAAGGAAAAAAAGAAGAAGACAUUUUUUUUUUACUUUUUUCCCCUUGUUAUUAAAGAGGGUGGAAAAAAGGGAGAAGACACUUUUUUAUUUUUUUUCUUGGUAUUAAAGGGGAAAAGGGGGAAAAAACCAUUCCAAUUUUUUUUUAUUUUUAAUCAUACAGGAGAGAGAUGUAUUUCUUCUAAAAUAUUAGGUAAAUUAUAUAUAAUUUCCUGUGUUUUCAUCUAUUGCCACAUGAUCCCCAAAACAUUUUAGGGUUUUAUGUGGCUGAUGUAAGGGAAAAAAUUCAUAUUAAUACCUUAAAUUUCCCUUAAGGAGUUUUUAUAUUUAAAUCAAUUAUUCAAUGAAUAUAUUUUUGUUUUUCUUCUAGUCUUAAAGAGUCUUGCCUCAGGCCUAAAUCAUUUCCACUAUAUUCCUUUGGCCAAAUUUACAAUCGUAUAUUUGUGUUUGUAGUCGUUGAUUGAACUUUGGUCUUAGGAAAAAUGAUAACAAAUGGAAAGAGUGAGAUACAAGUCAAUUAAAAAACAUCAUUAACACUAGAAUUUGUGAGACAUGGAGACUUGGAUUAUAAAAAGGAUAAGAAAACUUGAAUAGGUGAAAAAAGGUGGAUUAAAACUAUAUGAAAGAAGUAGCAUAACAGUGAUAUAGUAUUUGGUGAUGGGAAGAUUCUUGGAGAUGUGUUUUUUAAGUUUGAUAGGCAUUUUAUUACUUUUGGGAAGAUUAUUAUAAUCAUUUUGAGUCCUUAAAAAAAGCAUGGACGUAUAAUAUUUGAAUAUAGAGGUGGGCAACAUGAGAUUAUCAGAAAUCUUAGAAGAAGUUUUUGAAAUUAUCCUUUGCUGUAAUACUAUUCUUUUUUUUUCCUACCUUGUGAUUAUUGAUUUCCACAUUCACACUCGAAAUGCUAAGGCAAAAAGCAAAAUUCAAGGAUGAAAAAUGAAAGAAAAAGAGACAAGGUUAUAAACAUGGGGAAAGACUCUAGAUUUGAUUAAUGCUAACAUAUUAUAAAAUGAUUAUAGCAUUUCUUUUUCAUUUUUUAUGAGUGACACUUUUUUAAAAAAAUUAGUAGGGGAAUGAUGGGAUUUAAAAAGCGAAAAAAGAACAGGGAGAUCAAAAUUCAGGAUCUCUAAUUCCUGGGAGUAACAUGAUAAUAUUAUUUCUAAAAACCCAAUAUCAAUCCUAUUGGUGUAAUAUAAAGGAAUUUGGAUGAUUGAAGUGUUUAAAAUAUAAAAUACUUCUUAAUUAUAAUAUCUUAUUCAUUAGUCGAAUGUGGAAUCUUAUGUUUGUUGCCCCUUUCUUUUUUGUUUUGGAUUUGGGUUUUUGGCGUUGAACUUUGAGUAUGAAUUGAGUAAGAUUAUAGCAUGAGAAGGUUCAUCAUGUUCAUUUAAUUAAGGUCUUCCUGCAUUUAAAAUGGGAGCUUACAUGACAAAAAAAAGAUUGAAAUGGUAAUAAUUUACAAAAGAGCAUCAUAGUGGGAACAUUUUUCCUAAAAAAGGUCAUUUCAAAACUAAAUUCCGAGAAUCCAUGGUUUCAUGUGGGUUUUCUUUUCAUGGACGUGAUUAACAUCAUGUCUCUUAUCAUAUCCAUGAGGAUUAUUAACAUCCAAGUCCUAGAGCCUGAUUGCAUUAGUACUAUCCUUGGCCUUGGGUAUAAUAUCACAAGUUCCUCCCUGUAAAGGUUGCAAUGCGUUUUAAGAGAGUGAGAAUUAAGUAUAUCACGGGAAAAAAAAAAAUGAAUGGCAAAGUAACUUACCAGAACAACAAACAGAUGGAGGAGGAUAAUCCAACAAGCAAGUCCUUUGGAAUCCAUCAAUUGGUAGGUUUUAUAUCCCUUGCAACUCCUCCUUUGAAGGAUUAGAAAACAGCAGAAGCAAAUGCCAAAUAUUACAUAUCGAUGAAAAGUGUGCUUGAUUAGAAGGUUCUUUUUCAAAUAGUCGAUUAAAAUAUGACCCCUUGAAAGAUAGUGUUUCUUAUUGAGGUUGAAAAAUGAACCAAAUUACUUGAUACUCAAAUCAAAUUUUGCUAAAUAAAAGUUUGUUUGAACUUAGUUUGCCAACUAAUCAAAUCAAAAUUUAAGAAGUAUUAUUAUGUGUUAGAUUAACUAUCAAAUUUGGCAUUAACUUGGCUUGAUUAACAUAAAAUUAGAAUUUACAAGUAAAAAAUUCAAGUUACUCAAGUUCGAUUCAUGCUCAAUUCUAUAAAAAAAGCUCAUUUGAGUUUGGCUUAAUUAAUAAACAAGUCAAGUUUGAAGACCUUCCUCUUAAAAAAAUUUUAAAAAAAUCAAGUUUGAGUACUGUUUCAAGUUUAUUAAAUAAUCUAACAAGUUUGAAUACUAGAACAUUGAAUCUAGGAGAUCUAGACAAAAUCACUAAAUUUAUUUUAGACCAUAACUGUAGAUUAUUUAGAAAAAAAGGACCAAAAUGUAGACCUACCCACGUGAUGCAAACCAACCAGCCACGUGAUCCAUGCUGUAACCUUGCUAGCUUCACUUACCUAUCGCCUUGUAUAAAUAGCCGUAUAGCCCCCAAGAGUCUUUUCACCACCAAAGUUACAUUUUGAGUCUGUUCAUAGGCAAGGCAUGGCUUCAUCUAUCACUCUGAUCGCAGUCUUUUCAAUUGCCCUGGUAAGGUUUCUCAACCAUCAAUACUGUACUUGAAGUAGUAGUUCAUAUGAGAUAAUUGCUAGACUGUAUAGGAAUACUGAUGAAACCCGUGAAUUAAAGCUACCUGAGAAAACACAUUCUUCUUCCUUUUUGCACAUUUAUCUGCAGCUCUAACCAUCGCCACUGAAGGAAUGGAAGCUCUUCAGAUGGCUCUGUAGUUCUAUUCUCAUAAAAGCUUGACUUCCAAACAUUACCAAUGCUGGUACCAUACUUAAACGUCAAUGUAACUUGAGUAACGGCAUAUGACACUAUUUACCCUUUUUUAGUUAGAGGAUUCAUCCGGGAAAGAUUGAAAGUCAAAUCAAGAACCUUAAAAUCAACAUAAGGAAUAUUCCUGUUGCCAGUUGAGCUCGUCUUUGGAAAUUAACUAUCCUUCCCUACAAGGGGUCAUCUUUUACGGUGCUACCAUCAACAUACCUAUAUUGACGUUAGUUUCUUUUAUGUUAAUAUUUGCACAAAUGUGCAAUUUGCAUGCAUCACGGAAGCAAGGAAGAAUCCUACGGACUUUUUGCAAUCUGCUGUCAUUAAUGAGCAUACUGAGGACAAUCACCAUGCAGAGUCGUCCCUUUCCAAUCAGAAGAAGACAAGUAAUGGUAACACAUUGAAGGAUUUUGAGUCGAAGCCCGGCUCCUUUCUCUGGGGGGUAUCAAGGCAACGAGGCUGAGUCUAAGUCUAAGGAGGAGAAGCCUUUUAUGAAAGGCUUUGAGUCGAAGCCCGGCUCCUUUCUCUGGGGGUAUCAAGGCAACGACGCUGAGUCUAAGUCUGAGGAGGAGAAGCCUUUUAUGAAAGGCUUUGAGUCAAAGCCCGGCUCCUUUCUCUGGGGGUAUCAAGGCAACAAUGCUGAGUCUAAGUCUAAGGAGGAGAACCCUCUUAUGAAAGACUUUGAGUCGAAGCCCGGCUCCUUUCUCUGGGGUAUCAAGGCAACGACGCUGAGUCUAAGUCUGAGGAGAAGAAGCCUCUUAUGAAAGACUUUGAGUUGAAACCCGGCUCCUUUCUCUGGGGGUAUCAAGGCAACGACGCUGAGUCUAAGUCUAAGGAGGAGAAGCCUCUUAUAAAAGACUUUGAAUCGAAGCCCGGCUCCUUUCUCUGGGGUAUCAAGGCAACGACGCUGAGUCUAAGUCUGAGGAGAAGAAGCCUCUUAUGAAAGACUUUGAGUUGAAACCCGGCUCCUUUCUCUGGGGGUAUCAAGGCAACGACGCUGAGUCUAAGUCUAAGGAGGAGAAGCCUCUUAUAAAAGACUUUGAAUCGAAGCCCGGCUCCUUUCUCUGGGGGUAUCAAGGCCCUCUUAUGAAAGACUUUGAGUCAAAGCCGGCUCCUUUCUCUGGGGUAUCAAGGCAACGAUGUUGAGUCAAAGUCUAAGGAGAAGAAGCCUCUUAUGAAAGACUUUGAGUCGAAGCCAGGCUCCUUUCUCUGGGGAUAUCAAGGCCCUCUUAUGAAAGACUUUGAGUCAAAGCCCGGCUCCUUUCUCUGGGGUAUCAAGGCAACGACGCUGAGUUUAAGUCUAAGGAGGAGAAGCCUCUUAUGAAAGACUUUGAGUCGAAGCCCGGCUCCUUUCUCUGGGGGUAUCAAGGCAACCACGCUGAGUACAAGGAGGAGAAACCACUCGUGAAAGAUAAUUAAUGUCCAGGGAAGCCGCAACUUUACCUCUGAAUGGACCACGGACAUAUAUGUCUUCUAGCUGGUCUGAUUUUCUGCAUUUUCUUUAUUGGCAUGAACAUGUGUGAUAUGUAAUAAAUGCAGUUCUUCUUUCAACCAAGCGUUCUGUAUAAUUAAUUAAAUGAAAGUCAGUAGCGUUGAGUGCAUUUUCUGUUUCUUUGUUUGUUGUUUCUUUUU